rnacentral:lncRNA from 1 species
ACCAUAGAAAGGCAACCUUGAAACUUGUCUAUUUCCCCAAUAUUUGGAGAGGUACGGCAACUGUUGCAGCUGCUAUCCUGCUGGUCCUCACUUUCAUACAGACUAUAAGUUCCGUAAAAUCGUUAUAAUGAUUUUAUCUUGCUUAGUUUCUUUGCUCCUACGUAAUAAUGGAUUGGAUUGUUAUUGUUAAUUUCCUUUGAAAAAUGUUUUUAAAUUUUGAGUUUGUGUUGUUCUGAACCAAUAAUAUGAUGGUAAUCCAUAGAUAUUAUUGAUGAAAGCUAGCAAUUUAGACUACAAGUUUUAUCCAUGAUCUAAGCUCAAUAUUACCAAACAAAUUAAAUUUAUUGGGUGUCAGCCCAUAUUAAAUUAAAAACACAAUCUAAAUACAUUUCAUGGUUCUCACUUGUAGAAAACAAAUUAACUAAGGAUAUUUUAAGUAAUUUUCAUUUUAAUUUUUCAAAGAUAUCCUUUAAAUAAGGGAUAUUUGCGAUAAAUUGCACAUAACUUGUCUAUAAAUAGACAACAAAGUCACCAUAUCAAAGACACAAGCAUAAAGACAUAGAUGACAAGCAAAAAAGACAUAAAAAAAAACAAGAAGAAGCAGAAGACAGAAGGACAACAAAUACAUACUAAAGAUCAAAUACAAAUAUUUGAGUUCUCUCAAAGAAAUUCAAGUCUAUUAAAAAGAUAAAGGAUCAAAUUCAUUACAUUCAUCAAAUCAAAUCAAGUUAAGAUUUCACACGGUUAUGGAGAUGCUUUCUAAGGAUUGUGUCCAUCAUAUAUCUCUUUAAAUGAAGGAGCUGAAAAGAUCUAUCAAGUAAAGAGAUGUUUAGAUCACCAUGGUGAUGGACCAACUAAAAAAAUAAAAUCCACAAAUUGAAAGCACCCAAAGGAUCAUAGAUCCAUCUUGAAAGAAUACUCAUCAAGAUCCUUUAGAAAGCUAAUAUUCUCCUAAAAAGCAACCAAAACAAGAGCAACAUGAUCGAAUAAUAGUAUAAAAUGCUUUAAGGAACACUAUUGGAUCACCAUUGGGCUCACUUACUCCGAUCGUAUAUGAUUGUUGAUAUUAUCCAUUCUUAAGUCAUAUUCUAAGCAUAUCAAUGAAAUGAGGAUGCCACCAAACUAUCAACCUUUAAAUUUCCAACAAUUUAAAAGUAAAGGUAAUUCAAAGCAAUAUAUUGCUUAUUUUAUGGGGACUUGUAAUAAUAAAGGAACCUAAGGAGACUUACUGGUGAAGAAAUUCAUCUAGUCCCUGGAAGCAAAAGAUUAGUAUAUUUAAAAGUCUAUUGUUAUUUACAAUCAAAAUGAAAAGUUAAUAAAUCCAAUUUAUUUAUGACUUUGUCUAAAUCCAAUUUAUUUUAUUUACAAUGUCAUAAUCUACCAAAUUACAAUAAAAAAUGAGAUAUAAAAAGUUUAACUGUAGAUUGUUUUUUAUUAUAUCAUAUAUUUAUAUAUAUAUCUUAUCAAUAUACAUAUAAUAUAAGUAUUUUAAAUAUAAUAUUAUAGACAUAUAAUCUUGUUAAAUAUUUUUGAAAUAAAUUUCAUUUUUAAAACCUUAAAUAUUUGUUUUUUUAAAAUUAAUGCCAAAUUAGUUAGUGGUGUUAACUAAGAGUUUAUUUUGUAUGAGGUUGUGGAAAGAGAGAUUUGUGGAAGGCGUAUUUAUAAGAAGUUUAUUUUGUGUUAAAAAAAGUGUUUUCUAGAAUUAAAAAAAAAAAAAAACACUUUUCUAGUGGUUGGAAACUAGUUUCUAUAAUUUAUCAAACAUCAGGAAACUUGAAAACUACUUUUUAGGAAAAGUGGUCACAAACAAGGCAUACUUCUUCAUGAUCACAUCAAUUUUAAGCCAAACGGGCAUUGACGGUGAUAAUUUUAAAUCUUAAGAAGAAAUUAAGAUGGGUUAUUUUAAGAUUUUGAUUUUUUUUUUAUUAAAAUGUAGGAAAUUAAGUUGCCAAGCGGGCCGGGAAGAGGAAUUGAUCAAAGCCGUGUAUCAAAUUGCGCGCAAUUAACUCAGUUUUAAAAAAUCAUGAAAGAUAAUAUUAAAACUCCAAAUAUUUGUUUUUUAAUUUAUUAAUUUUUUUAUAUAAAAUAUUAAAACUCCAAAUAUUUGUUUUUUAAUUUUUUUAGGUUGACUCUAAACCCAAAACUCGGCUCUUUGACAUAAUCAACUCCCGAGCCUAGUUUAAUAAAUACUUGCUAUUAUAAAUAUCAUCACUUUGUUAAUAUUAUUAAUUUCAUUAUUAUUAUUAUUAUUAUUAUCAUUUUUAUUGAAAUCAUCAUCUUUAUAUCAUCAUUAUAAAAGCUACCACCAAUAUUACCACAACAAAUCAUGAUCAUUUAAUUGACUUUCAUCAUAAUUUUUUACUUAUUUAUUUAUCAGAAAUUAUAAAAUUUAUUAGAUGAAAAAUAUUUUAUGUUAUAUUAACAAAAUAUUUAAUUACCCAAACCAAACUCCCCUUGAAAAUAUAAAAAAGAGUUUCAUAAGGUCCACAAUUUGAUGGUAUCUUAUAUAUUGGAUCUUUCAUAGUUUGUCCACCUUUUUUUUUUAAUUAGUGUUGUUGAAAAAAAAGAUACAACCAUCAUUAAUUAUUGAAACAUCAAGUAGUGCCCAAAAAAUACAAAAAUUAAGACAUUAAACAGAGAGCCUUAUCAUUUUGUUCAAAUGCUAUUGGUAUGAUACCACUGACAGAGAAAUUAGAGUACAUCCUCACUAUGGUAUGGUCGAAAUCAAUUCAAAAGCUAGACUCCGCAACGUAAACUAUGUCUUUGUUUUCGCAAAGCAAUAUCAACAAGUUUAUUACACAUACACCCCUUCCUUUAGAAAGGCCCGAUCAAGAGUCGAUUGGUUAUCCGUUUUAAAAACAAAACCCGGGGGUCGUGUCGAGGUUGUUCAGGAAGAGAACGAAGACACAAGUGUACGAGAUGAAGUCUUUCAAGUUAGUGAGUUGGUUGAACCAUAUCGAGUUGCUCAUUCGAUUGACUUAGAAGAAAAUUCAAAUUUUCGUGUUUUCGAUGAUAGUCUUGUUGAUGUUGACGCUGAGGAGUUGAAUGUUGUUAAGAUUGCGAUAGAGUUGAUGACUGUUGAAUUGACUAUGAAGAAGAAGAAAAUUCUGAGUAACUAUCAGAAUCAAGGAAAGUGAAAAGCAUCUUUUUAUAAUGUAAUAUUAUGGAUGAUAUUCUGUAACAUGAAAUAUUAAUUUUAUAAUUGUUAAUUGAUGUUAUUGUUUUGUGCUGGUAGUUUGUAAUUUAAGUGUUUCCAGGAGGGUAAAUAGACAAUACAAACAUAUUCUUUCAUGCACAGUGCACGAUCACCGUGUCUCUAUAGACGGAAAACAUCUGUCACUAUUUUACUGAGAGUUGUAAAAUAUUUACUAAGAGUUGUAAAAUAUUUACUAGAAAUGCCACAAUCACUGACGUCUAUACCAACGAAUACUGUAUCCAUCGGCAUUUUACAGUGAGUUGAAAAAUAUUGACUGGAAAUGCCAUAAUCACCGACGUCUCUAUAGAAGAAAAUAUUUCGUCGGUAUUUUAUUGAGAUUUGAACAAUAUUUACUGGAAAUGCCAUAAUCAUAGUCGUGUAUACCGACAGAUACAUUCUGUCGGCAUCAAUAGGCAUUUGGCAACAGUUCACAAUUACAUACAGACUUACCAACGGAUGGUGCGAAUUUCAAAGGGCAGGUAUUAAUGCACCUCUGACCGCGAGCACUUGCCGAUAAAAUAACCAAUGGACUGCGAAAAUUAUGGAGGGUAAUUAAAAAAAUUUAGUGUGAAAUUCAAAAUUUACCGAUGGAUUUUUGAAAAGUCACGAACGAAAUAAUUUUAAAUAAUUAUAUUUUUAAUUCUGUUGGUAAAUCCGUCUGUAAAACUGCGCUAUCAAUCCCAGCGACCGUCCCUUUAGUUCAUUUUUCCUCUACUUUGUUUGAGAGUUCUCUCGUUUUUGUUUUUUUCCUCUUAUUUGCUGCUAAAUUUUUGUUGUUUUCCGCUUGUAAUCUCUAGUUCAAUCUUCAUCAAAUUAUAAGGUAUGUAUUUCCAUUUAAUAUGCUUAAUGAUUUUUUUUUCUUUGUUUUAGUUAUUGUUAUUUUUGUUGUGUUUUUUGUUUUGGUGUAUUUUUAUAAUGUAGAUAAAGUCUUGAAAUAAACACAUUAUUCAGGUAAGCAUUUUUCAUUCCUAAAGUCUAUAGUUUUUUUUUUUAUUAUUUUAUUGUUCAAUAUAUUUUAUUGUUUGUAUUGCCAUAAUAAUUGAAUACUUUCUUGAAUUUUAAUUGUUAUUGUUGAAUUUACCUUGUAAUUAGUAAUUGAAUAUAUAUAUAUAUGAAUAAAUUUAAUUAUUUUAUCUCAAUUUUACUCUAUUAUUGCAUGAUAUGUGUUUAAUUAUUUCCAUUGAUUUUAAUUGUUAUUUGUAUAGAUGUUACGUUAUAUAUAAAAUUUUUAACUUUGCAAGAGAUAAUGAGUGUGUGAUAGAACUUACAUGUGUUCUGAACCACGUGGUAAAUUGUUCAUCUUGUAAUUAAAAGAUUUGAGAUUCGAUCAGCUGUGAGUUAUUGGACAAUAAAUAUUGUUGAUGUUGCCUACAAUGUUGUUCCAAAUUAUAUGACUGUAUGAUAUUACAUUAUAUAAAGAGAACAUUCUUAACAAAGUUUAAUUAGUAGUAUAUAUAUACUUACUGAAUAAAAAAGUUUGAGCUCAUCACAGUUAAAUAGAACAUAAUUGUGUGUUUGUUUGAACUCUAGUUUAGACAAAUAUUUUUCCCUUACGGUAUUUUUAGGUGUAGGUCGUUCAAGAUUUGAGAAUAUUGAUAAGUUUCCACUGGAAGACACAUCACCACCAUCAUCAUGCCGUGGAACAUGAUUGAUUCUUAUUCUCAAAUGAGGUUCGAAAUAGUACGAGAUAAAUGUUGAGAUCUCCUCAACAAUAUAGGCCUCACAUAUCAAAGCCUCAAAAUGCGCCUUGUUCUUAACUUUUUUUCUUAAGAUUGAACAAGUACUUGCAUUGAAUUAAUAAAAUAUUUUCAAUUAAGAAAAACAAAGAAAAUAUUUUUAUAUAUGAAUUACAUUGCAACUGUAAUAUCUAACCAUUCAAAUGCAUACAUCCAUCUAUACUAGAUCGGUUCUCCAACUUUUGCCUCAAAUGGUAAAUGUAUGGGGAGAUGCUCCAUUGAGUCAAAAAAAUAAUGGAGGGAAUAUCAUCUCAAGUUUAUAUAGUGUCUCGACGAUAUUUGUUUCAAGCUUCUCAAUGUGAUCAACAUUCAACUUAUUGAAGCAUAUAUAUCUAAAGAAAGGACUGACCUCCGUGAGUACAUCCCAUAUAUCUUUUGGUAACAAAUCACGAUAAGCUAAUGGAAUGCGUGUUUGCAUAAACAUGUGGCAGUUAUGACUCUUCAUUCCAUACAAUCUGUAUUCCUCUAUAUUAACCAACCUUGAUAUGUUCGAGACAUGUCCAUCGAGAAAAGGCAAACUCUUAAGCCAUUUAUAGACUAGUAGUUGUGUAUUUUUCUCUAAUACGAAGCUUGCUCUUGGUUUUGUAACCCGUGACCCAUCACAAACCAACUCCAUAUUUUUACGAUUACAGAACAAAGCUAUUUUAAAUCUUGCCUUGAUGUUGUCCUUUGUCUUCCCCUUCACAUCCAUGAUGGUGUUGAAAAUGUUCUCAAACACAUUCUUUUCUAUGUGCAUGACUUCAAGGUUAUGGCGGAGGAGAUUGGUCUUCCAAUAAGGAAGCUCCUAAAAAAUACUUUGCUUUACCUAAUUGUGAGUCAAACCAAAACCAGAAAACUUCUGCUUACCUGACUGGAGACCAAACACAAUGGCACCGUACUCUGAUACAACAUCAUGUAAUUCUUCACCAGAAAGACACGGGGGUGCAACAUCCUUUUCAACUCUGCCAACAAAGAAAUCAUUUCUGUUUUUUCUAUCUUUGUAAUUCGAUGGCAAGAAACAACGAUGAUAGUAAAAAAAAGAAGCUUUACCUCCGUUUAUUAGCGUUAAUGCCUUGUUAUUUUCCAUGCAGUAUGGACAUGCUAGUUUUCCAUGAGUACUCCAACCAAAAACCAUUCCAUAAGAUGGAAAAUCUUUGAUAGUCCACACUACAGAGUUGAAAAGCCGCCCUCAUAAAAAAAUUAUAUUUCCUCGAUAUAUCAUAAGUCAAAGCUCCGAAGGACCACAACUGCGUCAACUUAUCAAUCAAUGGUCGAAGAAAAACAUCUAUAUUUUAGCUCGGGCUGCUCGAACCGGGUAUGGAAGUAGAUAAAAACAUGAACUCCGGCCUCAUACACAUCCUUGGUGGCAAGUUAUAAAUUGUAAGUAUGACCGACCAGCAAGAAUAAGGGGCAACAAAUGACCUUAAUGGGUUGAAUCCGUCUAUACACAAUCGAAGAUGCACAUUUCUUGAUUCAGCUGAAAAGUAAGGAUGCACACCGUUAAAGUGUUUCCAUGCUUCGUCGUCAGAAGGAUGCACCAUCACUUCAUCAACCGUAUCAUGUGAUUGGUGUCAUGUCAUGUGCUUAGCAGUCCUUGGUGAUGUGAAUAACCUCUGCAGUCUAGGUGUGAUUAGGAAGUAUCUAAGUUUUUUAUAUGCCACGAGAGUCUUUUCCCUGCCAGUUCUAGGCUUGUAAUGAGAAUGCUCACAUGUGAUGCACUCGGUCAGCUCACCAUUUUCAAGGUAAUAUAACAUGCAUAAGUUAGGGCACAUGUUAAUUUUAUGGUAUCCUAAACCGAGGGGUUUCAUCAUGGACUUUGUAGCAUAGAAGUUCUCUUUCAGUUUGUUCUUUUUAGGUAAAAUACUUCUCGCCCUUUCGAUAUUUUUGUCAUAACCAGCCUCAACAAACCCGUGAUCUAACUUGAUGGUGAACACCUAUACUACGACCGAUAAUUUACUAUGGUUCAUGCAGUCAUCCCAAAAUGGUUCAUUAGAAUCUUUCAACAGAUCAAAAAACCUUGUUGCAUUUGCAUUAGGUUCUUGUUCUACGAUUGGACAUUGAUUGCCAUUACCUUGAUUCAUUCUCAUUGCAUCCAUAACCAUAUUCCUCGAAGGAUUAUUGUCACACAUCACCCGUGGGGUGUCGGCUAGUGAUUUUUUCCUUCUUCGUUUGCGUUUGAUUCGUUGGGAGUCGCCACCUAGUAUUUCGUUAAGGGCUACUAGGAAAUUCGAAUGUACUGGUCUUGUCAGAGAUUCGUGGGUAAGGGACUGAUUGUGAUUAGGGAAGGUAUUAGCACCCCUAACGCACCUUACCUGAGGUAAGCUGCUUCGUGUCUUUGACGUGUUAAAGAAGUUUUAAAAUUUUGUCUUUUCAUCAGAUAUUAGAAAUACAACUUACGUAUAAGUUAAUAAUUCUUGACCGUGAGCAAAUCAAAAUAUUAAAUUCUUCUUUAUUCUUUGUAAUUUUAUCAUAAAUAAAAAAAAACAUUCAUAAAACAAAUGCAAACACACACACACACACUUUCACUAUUUUUAUUUUUUUUUCUUUUACAUUGACAUUACAAAUUAUAAAAAUUCAAAAUAUAUACAAAAAUUACAUUAAACAAUUUAAAAAUUACAAAAAAAAAAAAACAAAGAGCCACUAAAAUAGAAGCAGGAACAGUGCGGCCACAUGAACAGUGCUGGAAGGCUUCUGGGGUUGCCAGAAUAGUGGCGGCACGUCUUUUCCACACGCCAUCGCCACUAGCAACACGUGGGUUCACGCGCUGCCGCGAGAAAGAACUUGGAAAUAGUAGAUCAAGAAUGACUUCUUCUUCUCUGUUUUCCUAAACCGUCGGUGACCUGCAGAACAAGGAAAGAAACGCACACAACAAUUGAUUUUAGUUUUUCUUUCUUUCUUGUUUAUGGAUCUUUUUUCUUCUUCUCCAUUUUAGAUUUGUUUGUCUCUCUACAGAUCUGUUUUUCUUUUGGUUUAUCCUUCUCUGUUUCAGACGCCCAGGCGGCGAAUGGGUUACUGUCGACUGCUGUGCAACUGCUGGUGGCCGGUUUGAUCUGUGAUGGCUACGGUGGAGCUGUGGUGGAGAGGAAGUUGGCGGCUGUCUUGAUGCAGGGGAGGUUUUAGUCUGUUUUGGUUUUGUGAGGAGGAAUUUGGUGAUGGUUGUGGGGUGUUGAUGACCAGGAGAGGGAUGUUAUGGUUGGGUGAUGGGGCUGCAACCGAGAGAGGGAUGAGGGGAAGAUGGAAGUGAAGGUUUAGGGGGUUAUGUGGGUAUGGACUAUUGGCUGAGGGAAGAACAGUUGAUGGAGGGGUGAUGGGGACAGUCUCGGUGCAGGUAAAGAGAGAGGGUUGGUGGCGACUGCUUUGGCUGGUUCUCUGUGGUGGCUGAGAGGUGAGGGAUGAUGGGCAUUGGUCAGUGGCUAGGAAGAGUGGGGUUCUGUGUUGUGGCCUCAAAGGAAAAGGGGGACGGCCGAUCUCUGUUGAACAGGGAAGAGAGGCUAGCUGAGAUGAAAAAGAAAAUGUGAGAUCGCCGGGGAAGAAGCAAAUCCCGAACCAGUGGGGGGGCGCGGCUGGUCUUGUUAUUUUUGCCAAAUGGGGGCGCCGACUUGGGUCAAGAGAUAGGUUUUUUAGGGUUAGGUUUUUUUGUAUUAUCUCUCCAAUGUGCAAAAUUGUCCCCCCUCCAUCUUGAGUGUGUUGAGGAGACCAGUAUUUAUAGGUAAAAAUAUUGCUAUCUUUUCAAACUUGGUGCCUCAACUUCUUUCUUUUUCAUGUAAAUUUGAUUUUUCUUGUUUUUUUGGAUUUUUCAAUAUCAACAUCGACUCGAAAUGAGGAAAAUCGGCAAUUUUAAAAAUAACACGUUAAAAGUCAAAUGCGUUCUAAAAACCUUUGAAAAUUUAAAUUCUUUUGAGACGAUGCUAAAAAUUCUAAAAAUGAUGCAAAUAUAUUAAAAAAAAAUGUAUUUUUUGGAUUUUCGAUGUUUUUUUCUCUAUUUUUGGAUUUUUCUGAAAAUUUAUCAAAACAUAGGUCAAAAAUUGGGUAGCAACAAUUAUUAUUGUCAUUUUCAACUCCAUGCACGUUGUUAGCACUAGAAAUUGACCCAACUACCCUUUCUUCAAUGCCCUCAUUACGAACAAAUAGUUCUCCGUGUGCAUGCCAACACAAGUAAUCCUCCUUGAACCCCUUGUGUAAAAGAUGCAUCAUUACAACAUCUGAAUGCAAAUACUUCUUAUUUUGACAUUUCCUGCAUGGAAACUUAAUACCACCUCCAGUAAAAUUUCUGGGAAUAGAUAUUGCGAACAAAUCAUAUGACAACAUGUAUUAAUUAUAAUCUCGAUACAUCCAUGCACGAUUAUUCAUUACUUCUAUCGAACCUCUAUAAAAUUAUAAUGACAACAUGUAUUAAUUAACUAUGUUAGGUAAAUAAAUUUGCAUAAAUAUUGGUUUACCUCCACAAUAUCCAACAAACUAAUUAAAACUUCUCAGAAAUAUGCAUUAUCAAUUAUCAACGUCCAUAAAAAUUAAUACAUAUAAAUUUAUGGAAAUUACAAUUCCGCAAUAGCAUUAAUAAAAAUUAAAAUGAACCCAUUAAACAAGCUAUUAAUUAUUUCACAACAUUAAAUAUAAUUCGGUAAUUCAACAAAGUUUCAAUAAUUUACAAACAAAUAUAAUUUUACAAAUUCUAAAACAAAUCAUAACAAGUACAAAAUUAUACAUUCAUACUACAAGUUUGUUUGAGAAAUAACAAUAAAACAAGUACAUACACUAACAAAAUACAUAUACUAAAAAAAAACAAUAAAAUUGACAUUUAAAUGUUAAAAUUAAAAAAUAUAGAUUUACUUACAAAAAAUGAUAAAAUCCAUAAUAAAUCAGAGCACAAAUGUUGUGACCACGAAACUUAAAAAAAUAUGACUUGUGCUGAGAAGAGGGGGAUUCCCCUCAAAAAAUUAUAAAGGCACGACAUCGGCUGGCGAUUCUCGUUGUGUUCUAAAGGUUUGGUUCUUUGGAGUCGCCACCUAGUAUUUGGUCACUAGGAACCCUAACUGGUCUUUUAGAGAUUCUAAGGCAAGGGACUGGUUGCGUAAAGGGAAGGUACUAGCACCCCUAAUACGCCCUACCUAAGGUAAGCUGCUUGGUGUUUGGUUUGCUCUAUAGUCUAUGGUGUUGGUGUCUUCUAAACCCGUCAAUUUAUUUUAGAUAGAAAUCUAAGAAAAUUCCAUGUGCCAUGAAAGUUCGUUUCCUUUAGUAUUUCAAGAGUUGGUGACUCGUAAACCGCAAGAAAAAGAAGAAGAAAAAAAAAAGAACGAAGAAAUUUUCACAGUUACAUAAAAAAACAAUUUUAUACUUUUCACGACUCGUAAACCGUGGAGAAAAAAAUUAAAAUUUUGAAAUAUUCUCGAUCGCAACCAAAGCUUCUUUCAAACAUGUGCGUUGAUUUAUUACUCCCGAUAAUAUUUUGGAUGUUCGUCCUUUUAAGGAUUUCUUCAUCCAAACAUUAGCGGUGAACAAUAACCACAACUUCUCCUCCCAAAAUAAGAUUUUUAUAGUUUUUGGAAUAUUGGCCAAUACCCUUUGGAGUUUUACAAACAGGUUGUAAAAUCCACAAAUGCAAGAAAAUGAUUUGUGUUUAAGAAAUCUAUGCGAAAACACAUUUUCAAAACUUCCAAUGUUUUUUGUAUAUAUAAAAAGAUCAUUCAAAACAUGCUAGUGUAUUGGCCGUAUGCAUGAAAACAAAACAUUUUUUUUUUACGAAAACUGGUGUUUUUAAACACUGAAAUUAUAUCCCCAUAGUAUAAAAAAUGCAAAUCAAUGUAUAUAAAAACCAACAAUAUAUUUUUUUUUACUUUUCGGAAAUUUUUUUUUUUUAAAAAAAAUAUAUACACACACAUGCAUAAUAUAAUAAUAUAAUAAUAUAAUAUAAUAUAUUUAUAAAUAUAUUAAUAUACUAACUGGGCUGGGCCGGCCCCAGCCUGAAAGUCGUUGGGCCGAACUCGGCCAAAAAAAAAACUACAUGGGUCUGGGCCGGCACCGGCCCAGACCGCCGGGUUGGGCCAGAAUCCUUCUGGCCCAGAGAAGAAAAAUAUUACAGCACGGGGGGAAUUAUUUUCCCCCCGCGCGCCUCCUGCAUGCAGAACGAUUCUGCAUGCAGGAGGCCAACCUAACCCAGCUUCAGAAGAAAAAAAAAAUGCACGGGGAAAAGGAUAGUGUACCUGGCGCAACGGAGGCGACGGCUUACUGGUGGGGCUGCGGUGGAGGCGGUGGCAGCAGCUUAGCUCACGGUGGUUUCCAAGUAAACCGGCGGCGUCCUCCUGCUUUUUGCUUGGUUUUCUCUUCUAAAUUUCCCCAGCUUCAAACUUUUCAAUCUUCUCUUGGUUUUUUGGAUUCUCGUUGGCUCUCUCUCUCCUCGGUUGGGUGUUUCUCUCUCUUCCUCUCUCUCUUCGUUUUUUGUUUUCUUUCCGGUUCCCUCCUUUGUUCCUCUCCCUCGUUCUCACUUUGCUUCUUCUCUAUUUAUAGGCAUAUCGGGGCAUGCAUGGGGGAACGAAGCGUGCUGGUCGGUCGAUCGGCAGGCGCCGCUGCCAAGGUGCUUCUCUCGGGUUCGGUGGCGCGGCGGGUGGUCGGCCAGCGGCUUCGGUUUCGGGGGUCCCAAGGUGUGGGGCGUCGGGCCAUGGCACGUGAGGAGAGAGGCGGGGACAAAAACCCCGGUUUUCCUCUCCUCUGCUACGCCUGCGAGGGGAGAAGAAGAAGAGAAACAGUGCCGUUCAAAACGACACCGUUUGGUCUCUAUUAUCCUUUUUUUUUUUUUUUUUUAAAACGCAUGAAACGGCGUCGUUUUGGAGAAAACACGCCGUUUCAUUUAAAUGUGGCGCCAGAAAUGCGCCAAAGUUCACAUCAGUCCCCCAAUUAUUUUUGUUCCUUUCAAUUGCGUCCCUGCCAAUUUCGGUCUUGUCCGCCAAGUUGGCCGCCUUUUCCACUUUGGUCCUUAGCCUCUAAAUUAUGCAAUUUAGCCCUCAAUUGAUCAAUAAACUUCCAAUUUCUUCAAUUAGGCCCCUCAAUCAAUUCCAAACAGCCCCCCCUAUCUUUGCGCCUUUUCCAAAUUGGUCCCUGGUUUCGGAUUUUCACAAUUAAACCCCUAAUUGGCCAUUAAACUUCAAUAUUUAUGCAAUUAAGCCCCUGAUUUGACUUAAUAAAAUCCUAAAAAUUAUAAUUUGGCCCCAGAACUUAAAUUUCUUCAAUUUAAAGCCCAAAUUGACUUAAAAAAUCAAUUUUUCUUGCAAUCAAAUCCCCUAUAAAUCCAAUAAAAAAUCAAUUAAACCCAUAAACAUCCAAAUUUGGGCUUCUCUCCUCAAAAUUCAAAAUUUCCUUCCCAAUAUGGUUCUCAUCCUUCAAGAAUAUAAUGUCAAAAAUCCAAUCUUUGUAUCUUUAUACUCCUUGACCAAUUUUCUGACCCUUUUCCGAGCGCUUCUGCCUCCUGUUAUUUUUCUAACCUUCUUCGGCUAUUUAUUUUAUUUUUUUGCGGGGACCCAAAAAUGGGUUACAACAACAAGUACAAAAUUAUACAUUCAUACUACAAGUUUGUUUGAGAAAUAACAAUAAAACAAGUACAUACACUAACAAAAUACAUAUACUAAAAAAAAACAAUAAAAUUGACAUUUAAAUGUUAAAAUUAAAAAAUAUAGAUUUACUUACAAAAAAUGAUAAAAUCCAUAAUAAAUCAGAGCACGGAUGUUGUGACCACGAAACUUAAAAAAAUAUGACUUGUGCUGAGAAGAGGGGGAUUUUUUUGGGUGGGGUGGUUGUUUUCUAGUUUAGGAGGGGAGAGUUGGGAUGGAGAAGAAGAAAAAAUAGAGGAAGAGAGGGUCGGUAGAGUGGUUAUAUAUUAGCUCUUACCAAUGGAAACACCGAUGAACUCAUUAUGUCGGCGAUUCUGUUGGUAAGUCUAACGGUGAAUUGGUUAGGUCACUGUACAGAGAUCCCGUUUUGAAUCCCUCGAUAAGUAAUGAAGUUAAUUUUAUUUUUAUAAUGUAUCUAUCACUUUAAUUUUAUUAGUCUUUAUACCUAUCAAAUAUAAACAUUCAAAGGAUAUAAGAAACAUUAGAUAAAACGAAGCAUUAUUUAUUCUCCUUUUUCUCAACAUUACACAAUAUUGAAGUUGGUUCACUAGGCUGUGAGUUAUCAAUAUUUGCUCCUUUUUUCUAAAAAAAAAAAUCAAUUCUUCUUAUUUUGUUCAUGGUUCAACCUAAAAUCAAAACAUAUAUCAUGAGAAAAAAUUGAUAAUUUUGGUGGCUCUGCUAAAAACAAAACAUAAGAAAAAUUCAAGUAUAAUUAAGACAAACCAAUAAAAUAUAUCUAAUUAAUUAUAUAUAUAUAUAUAUAUAUAUAUAAAUCACUAUAACAAGAAUUCAAAAACACAUUUGAUAAAACUAGUAGAUCCGAGCAAAAAAACAAAAAGAAGCAAAAAUAAUAGAAUUAUAAAAAAACCUCAUCAAAUUCUUAACAAAUAUAUAUAUAAAAAACAAAAAACAAAAACAAAUUUUAAAUUUGAGGGUUAGUGAUGCUCAAUUACCUUGAUUUGUUUGAUGAAAGAAAAAUUAAUUGAUCUAUGCUUGAAUCUUUCUAUUUGUGAUUUAUGUUCUUAUUUCUAUAUUUUACCUUAUAUAUUAGGGCUGCAGCGAGAGAAAACGGUAAAAUUCAUUCAGCUAAAAAGUUAUUUAUAACUUCAUACUUUUUCUUUCCACGUAGAUAGUUUUAAAGUUAAAAGAUAACAAAUAUAUUUACUAUUAAAAAGGCCCACUUAUUUAAAUAAUACAUCUUCUCGCACUUAAUCACUAAGCAAUAAAAAGCUAACCUACAUAAUUAGUCAUCAUAUUUUUUCUUUAUAAGGGACGGGCCCUUGCUUGCUUCCACUUAAUUCCGCCCCUGGAUUCAGGAUUCAACAUUAAAGGGCUAAAAUGAAGAUUUAAUAUUCUUACAGGGAUUAUUAUGUACAAAUAUACUUGAUCUCUUAAAAAUAAUUUUAAAGUUAAGGGACUUUCCUAGAUCCGCCCUUGUCAAGCUAGACUCUAUAUAGCAUAUAGAAUUAAGUCCCUUAAUUAUAGCCAUUGUCUUGUGGGUAGACAAGGCAAGAGACUUCGAGAGAGAGGGAAGAGGCAAGAGGCUCUGAUCUUGUGCUGCAAUAUAUAUAUAGGAAAGAGGCUCGCUGCUUGGACCCUAUAUACAGACACAGUCCUCUGAUCUCCGUCCUCAGGUCAGCACUAACUUGUUCUGUUCUUUGAAAUAUUUAGUUUUUUGAAAUUUUAUGUUUUGGAUUUGGUUUAAGCUCUGCAGACAAUAGGUGGUUCGGUGUAUGUAGUUCCAUUUAUUUUAUUUUAUUUUAUUAAAGUUGGUUUGCUUAAUUAUGUUUUAGUUUUCCAGCAUAUAUAAAACAUUUGUAAUAAAUUUUGUUGUUAAAGUCAUUAAUUGAACUAUGAGAUAGCUAUAGAGCAAGACUUGAUUAGUGGUGGUCAUCAAGUGAUUAUCGGUAUCAAUACCCAUAGCAGUCACUUUAAUUACCCAUACUAAUUUAUUUAGGAGAACUAGCUACACAUCUAAUAAAAAUGGGCAACAGUAUUACAAAAUAAAUAAAACAAAAAAAAAUUAGAAAAAAAAAUAAUCAGAUUGUACCCAAACAAGGAGCAAUAAGUAUUAUAUAUAUAUAUAUAUAUAUAUAUAUAUAAACUAGUUGUAAUGUGUUUUAAGUGAUUUUCUGAUUAAGUUUCAUCUUGGCAUCUCAAUGUCAUCAAAUGCUUUAUUAAAAACAUUUUAUAAUUAUUUGCAGUUUUCCAAGCAUAUAAUGUUCAAGUUUAUCCAUAUAAUAUAUAGGUUAUCUUGCAGAAUUCGAGGGAAACCAGCUAAACAUUUUCUAGCUUGCAUUUUUCUAUAAAUGUCAUGUCUUAAAUUUUGAUGUUAAUGUCACUGAACUUGUUAUUGAAUCGGAGGUUCAACUUGAGAUUACUACUAGUUAAUUUGCCUACUUGUUGCUGCCUUUUUGAAAUUAUUUUAUUGAAUUCUAUGGUAAUUAAAACAAAUAUUCCCAUAAAAUCAAAUGCUUUAAGUUCUUUGAAGAAAACAUCUAUUUCUCUGGUGAGAAUUUCUCUAUGAGAAAAAAUGUCAUUUUUAUUAGUAUCGCUCUUUUAUAAAUCAAAACAUAAGUUAAUUAAAAUAAAUAUUAAUAAAAAAAUUCAAUGAUUUAAAUGAAUAAGAAAAAAAAACAUAUUCCUUUAAUAAAAAAUAUCAUUCCUUAUUCAUUCAUUUUUUUUUAUGAAAAAAAUACAUUUUGUUUUAUUAUAAGCAUGAGUUUUUUAAAUUAAAAAAAAAAAAUUAUUUGGAUAGUUUCAACUUUGAAAUAGUUGAUCACCCCUUAAAUAGAAGAUUUGAUCUUUAGAAAAUAUUUAUUUAAAUUCGAAAACAAUCCUAAAUUCCCUAUCUUUUUUUUUUUAGAUUAUUUUGAUGUGAAGAUAUCAAAAAUAAAUUCUAAUUUUAUUAUUAUUAUUUUGAUGUAUUUUCAAGUAAUAAAAAAUAUUUUAAAAAUUAAUCACUAUCACUGUUUUAAACACCCUUAAUUAAAGAGCUUGAUCGAUUACAUACUGGUAUGAAUCAAUUUUAUUUGAUAGCGUGAAAUUUGAUUAUAUACAUGAACAAAAUCUAGCUAAUUAUUUAGGCUAUUUAAUGUUAUACCAAGUGAGAAAUAGAGAGAAAAGGAUGAUUUAAAGUGGGAGGGGGUAGAGGGAGAAAAUGUGUUAAAGUGAAAAAGUUUUGAAAAAUUGUGAUAUUCAAAACCGAACUGUGUAUCCGUUCCAUUCAUUCUUGGUUUGUUUCAGCCAACCUGCAGACUGGAAAAGGAUAAGUUUACUGCAAGUGCUGCAAACAUGGAAAACGAUAUUGAACAGGCAAGAGCAUCAAAUAUGGAAGAGGAUAAGGCAAGUACUCCAAACAAGGGAAAAGAUAUUGACGUGGAAACUAAGGUGAGACGGAUGUCCUUUCAACAGAGCGGUUCUGAAUUCCGUAGAUCUGAGUGCUGCAUCUACAGGGUGCCCAAACCGCUUCGAAACGUAAAUUGGAAAGCCUACGCUCCACUACUUAUUUCAAUAGGUCCUCUUAACCGCCAAAAUAUAAGACUAGAGGCCAUGGAAAAGGAGAAACUGAAAUAUUUCAAAAAGCUUACUGAACAGGAUGGCAUGGAUGGGAAGAAAAUUAUUGAUAUUUUGAUCAGCAUUAAGAACCAAGAAGAGCGUCUCCGACACUGUUAUUCAGAGAAAUUCAAAUUAAUCAAGAGCCUUGAUUUCGUAAAGAUGAUCCUGCUGGAUGCUGUCUUCAUCAUUCAGUUUUUGUUGGAGUCAUAUGAUCAUGAUAACGGUCCUAAGAAUUUUGAGCCCAGGAUGACAUUUGACAUCCGAGAAGACUUGAUGCUACUUGAAAACCAACUACCACUCUUCAUUAUUCAGGAAAUAUAUGACCAGGUCAAGCCCCCUAGCCAGGAUGUUACAGCCAUUCCUUUUCUUGAUCUUGCUACGUUUCAUUUUGGAAAGUACACGUUUUCACAAGGGGUAGAAACCAGCCCUGGUGUAAAGGGAAGCAGGCAUUUCACUGAUUUACUAAGGAAUUUGAUGUUGAAUGGAGCCAUUCCGCGAAGUUAUAGCUUGAACCCUAUCAUGCUGAAAUAUAGUGCCGUCAUGCUUCGCAAGGUAGGAGUCAAGUUUCAGGCCACCCAAGACAAAUGCUUGGUCAACAUAAAAUUUGAGAAAGGAGUGUUGAAAAUACCACAGUUGGAAGUUGAUCACUGUUUCGAACGUCUUGUACGAAAUAUCAUGGCCUUGGAGCAGUGCUGCAACCCGUUUGAAGCUUACGUCUGCAGUUACAUUAAGUUUAUGGACCAUCUUAUCGACAGUGCAGAAGACGUGGGUUUGCUAGUCCGAAAGGGAAUCAUUCUCAACUGGCUAGGUGAAGAUGCCGCAGUUUCAAAUAUGAUCAACCAUUUUUGCGAAAAUAUUGGUGACAAUUACACUUGUUUUGGUGAUAUCUCUCGAAAGAUAAAUGCCGACUAUGAGAGCCGCUUUAACCAUAUGAAAGCAACCUUGAAACUUGUAUAUUUCCCCAAUAUUUGGAGAGGUACGGCAACUGUUGCAGCAGCUACCCUGCUGAUCCUCAUUUUCAUACAGACUAUAAAAUCGUUCUUGUAAGAUUUUAUCUUGCUUAGUUUUAUUACUUCUACGUAAUGUUGAUUGGAUUGUUAUUGUUAAUUUCCUCAAAAAAUUGUUGUUCAAUUUUGGGUUUAUGUAGUUAUGAACUAAUAAUGUUGUAGCAAAUUCUUGUUGUAUUGUCCUAAAAUUGAGUUUGUACUUGUGCCCUGUGUGAUGGCUUUUUUAAAGAAAAAUUGAAGGACAGAUUAAGGUGUUGGAUGUGAGUUGAUUUGAUUCCAUGAUAUGUUGUUCUAUAAUGUGACUUUCCUUGUUAUCAUGAAUUACCAAAAAGGGUGAGUUUAUUGCCAUUAGGAUUCCUUCACCAGUCAACAUCUCUUCACUAACACAGGAUGAUUUUUGGUCCCCUUGUCACUCCCAUGAAUCAUGUUAGGCUCUAAGGUUCCGCUACUGUUAAUACCCUUCCUCAAACCGUGCCAGGGCUAGAGGCAAAUUUUUCCCUUAAAGUAGUAUGAAACACUGGAUUGUCAAUGAUAGUCCAACUCAAAACAUAUAUGUUUUGGUGAGAAUAAAACACUAGAUUAACUAUCAUAUGCAGAGUAAUGAGAUUGUCACAGUAGAGGAUUGGUGGAGAAGAGAGUGGAAUGUGAAGAUCUUGGGGACUGACUAGUGGUUAAGAUGAUAUAGAAUAAAUUCUAGGACGGAUGAUCUAUGUGGUGACAAUAAUUGUACAUUGAAUGAGAUUGCCGAUAACUUGGUAUGUUUAUUUAUAAAGAAAACUCUGUUAAAUUUUCAAUAGAAUUACUUAUCAAUAAACGAGCAUGUUUAUUUGUGUAUAAAUACGAAAAAACAAUUGUCAUGAUAAGAAGACACAAAAACUUAUAUUCAGUUGAAAAUAUGAAAUUAUUGUAGUAUUUUUAUAUUUAACAUUCUCUAGAGGAUAGGAGUGUUACAUUAUCCGACUUUUUUUGUAGACCUUCCUUAUUGCUGACCUUUUUUCAUUUGAAUUUUAUGGCGAUGGAUGACUUAUCUUGCAUCUGACUUUGCUCUUUCAUCCCUCAAAGCAUCUUCGAUAAGAUGUCGUUCCACCACAUUGAGUAAUUAAGGCUAAUUUAGAACUCUUUUUGCUGCUUCUUGUGGAUUAAAAGAUGUUGCCCUAGUCACUUCUAAUGAUGUCUAGCUUGGCCAAAGAAUUAGCCUCUUUAAAUAGACCGAUUUACUUAGCUAACUCUCAUGUUCUUGGUAUGUACUGUACUUUUUUAAUUUGUCUAGUUACCAAUAAAGAUGAGUAGCUGAUAUAAUCAAUCAAGUCGAUUAACUGGACUCAUGCUUUGUUAUCACAGCUCAUAAAAUAAGUCGAGCUGUUUACUCAAGGAACUUUUCAUCUGAAAUUACUCUGAUGGAGUGUUUGAUACUUCUUUACCCAUGUCUUUUUAUCCGGGUUAUUCCAUUCUUCAUUCAAAACUAAGGGUGAGCAAAAAAACCGAUAAACCGAUUAAACCGGAAAAAAAAUAACCGAAAAAACCUAACCGAAAUAACCGAUUAAAAAAUCACAAAAAAAUUCCAGUUCGGUUCGGUUUCGAUUUCUAAAAUCUGAAACUGAUUGAACCGAACCGAACUGAACCGGUUCAACUAGUCAACACUUUAAAAAAAAGUAAGUAUAAAUACAACAUUUUCUAACCCUAAAAUCACAUUUAGCAGCCGCCCCUCUGCAUAUCACUCCCUCCCUUUAGCCCUCUCCUUAGCCCCCCCUUCUCUGUAUAUCCCUCCCCCUUGUCUGCAUAUCCCCUUCCCUUCCCUCUAGCCCCCCUUCCCUUUACUCUUUGUAAAUGUAAAAUUAUAAGCUUUAUGGGGUGCUUGCAUGAUGUGGGUAAGUGUCAAGUGGUGGAUUUUUUUUCCUUUCAUUACCCCGCCUUUUUUUUCUAUUGUGUUUCUUAUCUUUUACUGGCUUGUGUGGCUGAGGGUUUGGACAAUUUAUUCAUACAAGUUUCAGCCAACAAACAUGAUAUCUUUUGUUUAUUAUGCACAACAGAAGUUUUGAUUUGGAGGCUCUUGUUUUAAUUGUGGGUGGUCGAGACAUGGAGCAUCAAAAUGCCCAAACAGUGAAGAUUUUUAGUUGCCUUCUUCGACGUAGGAAUUAGGGAUUUUUUUGGGACUGUGAACAAGUUGGAAUAAUUUUGGUUUGAACCGGUUUGGAAGGAAAAAAAACCGAACCGAACCGAACCGAAAUUAAUCGGUUUGAACCGGUUUUCGGUUCAGUUCGGUUCAAAAAAUUAAAAAAAAAAUAUUUCGGUUUGGUUAUUUAUUUUGGUUCAAAACCAGACCGAACCGGAAAUGCUCAGCCCUAUUCAAAACCAAACUAAGAGGCCUCAUAUUAAAUCACCAUAAAAACCGUAUAAUUAUUGAAUUUUAUUCCUAACUCUCACCUAAGCCAAAGUUCUAACCCCAAAUCAAACCCAAACAUAGCAGCUACCAAGCUUCUAAAAAAGAAAACAUGGCUUCCUAGGGCCAUAUCUCAUUUCCUCCACCACGCUCUCCCUCCUUCUCUCUCAAAUAUAUUUUGUUUGGUCGCUUUAUUGUUUUAAUUGGACAUGAAUUCACUUCUUUAGCAGCUUGUACGUAGGUAUAGGCAGACAUUAGUUGAUUCAAUAUAAGGAUAAGCAUUCUAUAUGUGAAGUUUACCUUUUCCCUGUAAGGGUGCAGGGUUUAUGUAGUUCCAUUUUUAUUUUUAUUUUUAUUCUUUCAUAAAAGAACUAAACUAGAUCCGGUCCCUUUUCUUAACAGAAUAUUUCAAGCAAUUGAAUAGGAUAAACCAGUUUUUUUAAGUGAAUUGAUAAGAAGCUCUAGAUAUUCAAAAUCAAUUUAUCAAUGGGCUAUUUAUAAAAACAAUUGCUUUUUAUAUAUAUAAAAAUAUAAUAAUAUAUUUUAAUUAAUACCAAAAUACAUUAACCUGUCCCAUUGAUGGCUUUUUAGUCCUACAUGCUGUCUUAUCGUUUAGAGAAAAUUGUUUAAUGUACGGGGAGGGGGGGGGUAUAAUUAUAAGAUAAACAAACGUUGUUUUCAUUUUGGGGUCUCCCUUCAUCCACUUGAAAUUUUUAUCCUCUCAUGUUUAGUGGGACGGUGAGCCUAAGAUAUUUGUAGGUAAUCGGUGAUUUUUUUUCAUUAAAAUAUUAUCCUCAGAUAUAAAUAAGAUAGAUCCAGGAUUUAACAUUAAAGGGCUAAAAUGAAGAUUUAAUAUUUUACAGGGAUUAUUAUGUAUAAAUAUACUUCAUCUUUUAGAAAUAAUUUUAAAGUUAAGGGACUUUCCUAGAUCCGCCCUUGCCAGGCUUGAAUCUAGAAAGCAUAUAGAAUUAAGUCCCUUAAUUAUAGCCAUUGUCUUGUGCAUCUUAGGUGCUGCAAUAUAUAUAUAGGAAGAGGCUUGCUGCUUGGGACUCUAUUUACAGACACGAUCCUCUGAUCUCCGUCCUCAGGUCAGAGCUAACUUGUUCUGCUCUUUGAAAUGUUUAGUUUUUCGAAAUUUAAUGUUUUGGAUUUGCUUUAAGCUCUGCAGACAAUAGGUGGUUCGGUGUAUGUAGUUCCAUAUUUAUUUAUUUAUUUAUUUUAAAGUUGGUUUGCUUAAUUAUGUUUUAGUUUUCCAGCAUAUAUAAAACAUUUAUAUGCGAUGUAAUAAAUUUUGUUGUUAAUUUCAUUGAACCUGCUGUGAAAUGAUCAGAGGUUCGACUUUAGAUUUCUAUGGGUAUUAAUAUAGCUAUAGAGCAAGACUUGAUUAGCGAUGGUCAACAAGUGAUUAUCGGUAUACCCAUUGCAGUCACUUUAAUUAACCAUACUAAUUACCCAUAUCUAAUAAAAAUGAGCAACGGUAUUGUUGUUACCUAAUUUUUGACCCAUCUUUUUAAUAAAUUUUUCGAAAAAAAUCCAAAAAUAGUGAAAAACAACAAAAAUCCAAAAAAAUAUGUUUUUAAUAUAUUUGCAAUGUUUUUAGCAUUUUCAAUGUUUUCUAAAAAGAAUUUUAAUUUUCAGUUGUUUUUCGAACGCGUUCGACUUUUCACGCGUCAUUUAAAAUCAUUGUUUUUCUCAUAGAAUUGAUGUUGAUUUUGGCUCAUUUUUAAAAAAUACAAGAAAAAAUCAAAAUUUACAAAAAAAAAAAAUUGAGGGACCAAUUUGGAGGUUUGAACAAACUUUUACCUAUAAAUAUGGGUUGAAAACUCAAAUGAAGAGAGGAGGGGGUCAUUUGGUAAUUUUGGGGGAGAGGGAACACAAAACAGAAACCCUAAGAGCUGAACUUUUUCUUCUCCCUCUCCCGAAAGGCAGCCGCCACCCCCUCCUGGAAUAUUUUUUUUUUUUUAUCCCUUCUUCCAAAAAACACAAAAGAAAAACCCUACAAGCCCUUUUUUUUCUUACUCACCGGAGGCGCCGCCCCCCCCCCCCUGUUACUUUCAAAUCCCCAAACAGUCCCCCCUCAUUUUGAUUUUCUUCUCCUACAGCCACCAGAGAACCAGCCACCGCCGACCUCCUUUCCUCAUCCCCGCAGCUCCGGCGCCUCCCAAGUCUUCUCCCCUCAGCCGAAGCUUCCCUUUUCCUGUUGAAGACGACCGUUGUUUCCCCAGUUUGGACCCGUGGGUUUCUUCUCCUUCGCCCGUCUCCACCGCGGCUUCAACGACCACGGACAUACCCAGCUUAGCCUCCACCCGAACCAGCCGUCCUCGCCGAAGACCCAGCAGCCAGCCCGAUCGUGGGCAUCUUCCCCUCUCAGCUGCUCCCCUUCUCCAGCCGCCAGCUCACCAAGACCAAAGGAGGGCAGAUCCGCUCCCCGGGCAGCAAUGCCAUCCUCCUCCAACAUCCAGCCCUCCCCAUCACCAGAUCGUCUCCUCCUCCACGACAAUCAGCCACCGGAGAAGAAGAAGAAACAAGAACAGAUCGGCGGAGGGAAGCAGACCCGAAACGAAAAGGAAGAGAAAUAAAUUGAAAACAAAGAACAAAAAUUAAAAUCAACUGCUUUGUUGGGUUUUCUGUUGUUACUGCAGGUCGGCGCCGGCGAGGAAAGAAAGGGGAAGGAGGUCGUUGCAGACCCCCCCUGUUCGGUUUGUUUUCUGAGGCGGCGCGUGGGUUCACGCGCCGCCAGUGACGGUGGCGCGUGGGAGGACGCGCCGCCACUGUUCCCGAGCACUGUUCUCGCGGACUCCAGAAGCCUUAGGAUGUUUUAGGGGCUGUUUUUUGUAAUUUUAAGUUGGUUGAUGUAAUUUUUUUGUUUAGUAUUGAAUUUUUUAUUUGUAUUAUGUGAAUGUGGUGUGUAUGUUUUUUAUGAUAAAAUUGCAAGUAUAAAGAAGAAUUUAAUAUUCCGAUUUAAUCACGGAUAAAGAAUCAUGAACUUACAUGUAAGUUGUAUUUUCUAAAAUUCGAUGAAAGAACAGAAUUUUUAAAACUUCUUUAACACAUCAAGUCCACAAAGCAGCUUACCUCAGGUAGGGUGUGUUAGGGGUGCUAAUACCUUCCCUAACCACAACCAGUCCCUUACCCGCGAUCUCUGACAAGACCAGUACAUCAGGUUUCCUAGUAGCCCUCAAUGAAUUACUAGGUGGCGACUCCAAAGAACCAAAUCAGCAAAACAGAACGAAUAAUCGCCAGCCGAUGCCGCGCGCAGGAUUUUUUUUGGGGUGCGACAGAAUGGCGACUCCACUGGGGAAGGUAUUGUUUUCAACAUUAUUGGACUAAGCUUUGUAUAUUUGAUGUGUAUGUUUUUGCAUUUUUGGGUUAUUUUAUUUUUGUUUUAUCCAUGCAUUUUGUAGAAUUAUCUCAUGCAUCACAUAGUGUAAUUUUUUAAAGCACACACAAGCUUCAGGUUAGGAGGGGGACUAGCAGCUUACCUUACGACUUUUAGUCAAGGUUUAAGUUUGUGUAAACCCCAACUCUUCGUUGAGUGCUUAGACUGGUAAUAGUUGGACACGUGCCAUCUCACUGCCUACAAGCCCCCAUAUUGCCUCCACGAGGGCGAUCACUGGGACAACAAGAGACCUUUUUUAGAGACCAAAUAGUAAACCUACCUUUUGUCUCACUUAAAAAGAUUAGAACCUGUCUUUAGGAUGUAUGCUCCGUAACAUUGUUUUGCAUCCGAGCAAGCCCUUCUUGAAGCAUCUUGAACUCCAGACUUAUGGGUGACACAAUGACCGUCGCUCAGAAAAUUUUCAUUGUAGAGUUUGUGCAAGAAUCAAGAUUCUUGUUUCAUCAUACAAGAGUUGCGAUCAUAUGUCACCCCUCGAAGGGCGAGUUCGUCAUAUAGAUUACAUAUUCAUACAUUUAUCAUGCAUGUACCGGGUUGAAAGGUAGGUCCCCCGCACAAGCUGUGCUGCACGUGAUUGAAAAGAUGAGGGAAGUCAGAACAUUAAGGAGUUGAGAGCAUCAAAGGUGAAACUAGACUCAGAUUGCUCGAACAAGUGUUGAGCAUAAAUGGAAAGAGAAUGUCUGCACAGUCUUCUGUGGGAACACUGCUUGUCCACGUCCAAUUGAAGCUGCCUCUCCUUUUCAGUCAUGAACAAACAAACAAUGCCUUCAGUCAUCAACUAAUGACAACUCUGAUUCUUGUCCAGUUGCACUGUUAAGUGUUCAUCGCCUCCACAUCAUCUAAUGGAACCAAACGACUACUAGCCUCCUGUACAUGGUGCAUUAGUCUGCUUUGAAGUUACCCCAAUUAUGAGCUCAAUUCCAGUUCAGCAGCACAAGAUGUUGGUCUGAAAAACCAUGAUUAGACACUGAACUUCUACGUGGUAAAGCUCUCUAUAGAGAUUUAUUUGUGGAUCUGCCAAUGGGAAAUGCAAAAGGGGAUGUAUUAAUUUCAUAUGCUUUGAAACUUUUUUCCCACCAGUGGCACGAGCAAAACAUUGUACUAGGCAGAGGAGUCAGGCCUGGUCUGAAAAUAUGAGUAGUCGUCGAACUUCAACAUGGCAGAGCUCUCUCUACAAAAAUCUGUUUAUGAUGCUGCAAGUUGAGAGUGCAAGAGAGGAUUUACUAAUUGCAUAUGCUACAAAUAUUUCUCUCAUCAGUUUCAGCACGAAGAAACUGUAGCAUGUUGAAGAGCCAGAUUUGGUUUGAAAAACAUUGAGCAGACAUCAAACUUCAACGUUGCAGAGAUCUCUCGGCAGGAAUCUAUUUGUGGAUCUGUAAAUGGGAAAUCCAAGAAGGGAUGCAGUGGUUUCAGAUUGUCCACAAUUUUCUCCUACCAGUAUUGGCAUUAAAACGCAAAAGUGGCUGUUUGCUGCACCGUCAGUGAGGAAUCAAAGAGGAAAUAGAGGAGUUGUGGAUUCAUCAGUUUCUCUUCCAAUUUUGACAAUAUAUGAUUCCAUACAUUUUUGUUUUUGCGCACUGCCAGGAUUACCUAGAUAUUGAGAGGUUUCCAACAGUCCUAAAACAACAACAACAACAUUGGAAGAUUGACAUGAAGUUGUGUGGAUUGCCAAAAAUUGAACAAGCUAUCAAGAUGGGAAAGAUUGAAGGUUCUGCCAAGGAUUCCAGAGAAACGAUGAGAGAUGAAUCAAAAGAAGAAUCUGACGAUGGAAAACCUUAAUUAUGUUGGUCUAACCAAGUCUUGUUGUAUCAUCGACUACUCCAAUGUCUUUGCCAAAGAUAGACAUUCUUUGCUAUGUGGGUUUAUUUACCAGAACUGCCAGAUUCUAGACUUUUGCUAGACUCCGACAAAUCCCAUGCAACUACCAUUUUCUAGGUGGUAUAAUCCAGACAAGAGAUGUGAUGUCAUGGUGGGGUCCUCGGCCAUUUCAAUGGAAUAGUUGCAAGAAUUUCAAUUGAGUAGUUGUCAUGUGAGUUUAUUUGCCAACAUCUGCCAGAUUCUAGACUUUUACCUGACUCCGAAAAUUCCCAUGCGACCACCAUUUUCUAGGUGGUAUAAUUCAGACAAGAGAUGUGAUGUCAUGGUGGGGUCCUCAACCAUUUCAAGUGAACAUUGCAAGAAUUUCAAGAGCGAGUCUGAAAGUUGGUGAGCAAGAGACAAGUGGAGUCGUGAAGGAGGGUGUCAUUGGCUAUAUUGUCCCCGAACAUCUUCAGAAUGACAUGUGAUUGCUUGGCAAAACACAGAUAUUGCCAGAAAAGCUGAUUCAAGAAUGGUGAUGAAAGUCAAUCAUAUUGUUAUGGAAUUCUGCAUUUUGUUUUGGGAUCACAUCUCAUCCUUCAACGAAACAUGCCUUGCUUUUGUCUCUUUGUUGUUUUGAAAUCAACAGAUGUUUACAUUUUAUUUGACAAAAUAUUUUGAUCAAACUCCAACAUGCGAUAAAGGUUAAUCAAUCCUGAAGAUUAAAAGUGUUUUGAUUACAGAAAUGACUCGAUGCUUGAAAUGACAUGAGGUGACCAAACAAAUUUUGACUCAUACCUCUGAAACUGAACCACACAUCAUAUAGCUAAGUUUUACAGUAUGCAUAAUGACAUGUAGUGGAUUCGGUAGUUAUGGACUCGUGAAUCAUGAUUCUUACAAGUCCCAAUCAUUACACUGGAUGGGGUCAAAAUUUAUCGGUUCUAACCGACCUUGCUUGAAAUGAGAAAAGGCCAUCUUUGAUAUCCCUUCACUUUCUAAAGAUUAUAUCCCUUGUAGUCCCAUUUUGAGCUGAAUAGAAUAUUCUUUUCAUGAAAACCCUGACUAGGAUCACACCCCACACUGGGGGCAAAUGAGAGAUAUUUUGAAGACAUUGAUAUGAUUAAUGGAUAAAGAGGAAGGCUUAGAAUAAAAGUCCAAUGAUUGAGAGAGAGCUAGAAGAAGACACAUAGACUAGGGGCAUAUAAGAAAGUUUUGAGGAAGGCUAUGAAAAAAAAAAGAGAAUGAAAAAAAGGAAGUUGAAAUUGCCCUCACUUAAAUACAAGUCAAAGAUAAAGGAAGGAGAACGCCUAUCAAGUCUAUGAAGAGCAAAAGAAAUUUCAAUCAAGGAAAGGCACAACAAAAGUCAAUACCAGAAAAAGACUAAGAUAUAAACGUUGACUUUUGGGAUCCAUUAUAAAGCCUACGAUGUUAUCGAAUGAUUAAGGUUGGUUAUUCAUCAAGGAAAGGUGGAUUUGCAUAUUGACUUAUGUUAAGAGAAGUCUGAUUUUUAGAUUAACAAGGUUAUAUGUCGUUUCCUCUACAAAGACAACAAUAGAAAAGAGUUGAUGAAUAGUUGAUGUUGAUCCUAGGUCUUUGAAACCCUCAAACACCUUUUGAGCCUUUAAAAUUCCUUUCUUUCAUAGCCAUGAAUCAUAGCCUGCAUUAUGUGCUUUUAAAAGCCCUUUUUAAUCAAGCAAGCAAUUUGAACCGAUAAAUGGCGCUCUCAAAACUUGAAGAGCUUUUCCAUAAGGGUCGUGACUUCAUGAAUUAAGCUAUUGGUUAUUAUGCAUGCUGAUAAAAAAUGCUAAGAAAGAAACAACCUUUCUUGAUAAAGCCUGAGCAUCUUGUUUUUGAAAUUCAUAAAAAGGUCACCUCAUCAUAGACAUCAAAAAUAUACCAAUAUCAAGGAUUCAAAUUGAUACAAAGAACCAUGGAAAAGCCAUUUUAAUUACAUUGGGUCAAUUUCUGUUUUCAAAAUGCAUGACAAUCAAAGGACUGUGUAUUUCGAAUAACGUGUGUUGGGUCUUUGAUCAAAAAGCUUGAUUUUCAAAAGAUUUUCAAAAAGGACAUCUCUGAUUUCAUUUCAACAAACUAGACUUUGAAUAGACAUGAUCUUUGAAAUAUGAGAGUUGAUUCCAGAACAAGGAAGAUUAUCAAACACAAAAGAACAUUGAUUGAGUAUGCAAAAUCGUUGAUAGAAAUGACAUUGAAGUCCUCGACACUCCUUGAAAAGUUGAGCAGCUGGGGGCAAUACAGUGGACCUUAAGAAGGAAAACAAACAGUAUCCAGAUCAGCUGGGGGCAAAGAAAGAAUCACAUGAUGAGUCAUCAAAGGCCAUCAAAGUCAUUCCUGGCAUUCACAAAAGCCAUUUGGUUGUAAACAGAAGAAUGAGCAUGUUCAGAUCAACUAGGGGCAAUGUUGUUCAAAGACAAUCCAUGAUUUAGUGAACUUCAGCAGCAAUUGAUGAGCAACGCUGCACUUGAAGGAUAUUUUCAUAUCUUCAUCUUGGGUCACCCUCUGAAACAUGGCUAUGACUCCUGACAGAUGUUAUCGGGUGAGUGCAUUUGAAUGAACAUCGAACAUAUGCACCACCAGACUGAUUGUGGAACAAUGCUGCACUUGAAGGACAAUCUCAUAUUGUCAUCCUUUGAAACAUGGUUAUCGACAGACGUUAUCACGCAACUGCAUUGAAUGAAUGUCAGAAAGGCACCCACCCCGAAGACUGACUGUGUGGGACAAUUUGUUUUGAAGCCAGAUGAGCACUUCACCGCAUGAGUAUGGGUGAAAAAGCAGCAUCAUUGAUGAGGCCGAGACAUUUCUUUUCACAACUGAUUAAAGAGUUGAAAGGAAUCUAUGAGAAGAACACUGAGCAUACAACCAUGAGCCUUUGUACUGCAAGCUAUGAGAUGCAUGUCUGGAUGACUGGAUGAGUUCCAAGAAGGCUGAUGAUAACAUGUACUUGAAGAUUGUUUCAACUAGAGGCAAGUUCAUGACUGAUUAACAAUCUUGAUGGGUAUUGGCAUGAUGCACACAAUCAAUCAGAGGAUAAUUCUUCAGAAGAAGCCAGGAGAGAAAAUCCUUCAUGAUGAAUCAAGCAGUACCACAUUUGGGGGCAGGGCCAAGCUUGAUGAACGAUGCGAGCAGUAAUUGUUGAAGACAACCCGGGAUGGGCACUGCAUUUACAGCUGAGUGGAUGGCUAGCACAUGAAUGAGCCAAUACAUCGAAAGAACAAGGAAAGCUUUGGGAUACAAACAAAGGCACCCUAUGAUGAUGGAGCAUCAAAGAGGGGGGACCUAUAUUUCAAAAUCAGGUAAGGAUGCAUGCAUAUCAUCUAACCUUAAAAAAAAAAAAACAUUUGCACAUGUUUUUGAAUUGUUACAGGAAAAUCCUUAAUGAGGUCCAGCAAGAUGUUGGAAAAAGAAAGAAGCAUUGUGGUGAUGAUAAUAAAGAAUCAGUGUUGAUCAUGGAAUAAAAGGGAAGAUGGGAUGAACCCUACCAUUAGGGAAAUCCCAAAGAAAUGAAAAGAUCAACCUUGCAAUCGGGAAGCCUCGAGUUUUCAACCCUUGCAGUCAGGAAACACUGAGUUUUCAAAACCUAUGAUCGGGAAUUAGCAGGAAGCACCAAGUUUUCCAGCCCUUCUUCUGUCAUCCCCUCAAGACUUCGCCAGGUAAGUCCUAUUUUUCACACUUGUCAUAUCACAUCUUCCAUUUGGGUUGGUCACCUCUGACAAUGAGACCGCGCUUUUCACAUUUUUUCCAUCCGGGUAGGUCACCCAUAACAAUGAGACCGCACUUCAUCAUAUUUUUUUUCAUCUGGGUAGGUCACCCAUUACAAUGAGACCACACUUCAUAUUUUUUCCAUUUUUGGGUAGGUCACCCAUUACAAUGAGACCGCACUUCACAUUCUUUCUAUUUGGGUAGGUCGCCCAUCACAACGAGACCACUUCAUCAUAUUUUGUCCAUCUGGGUAGGUCACCCAUUACAAUGAGACCACACUUUAUAUUUUCCCCCCAGGGUAGGUCACCCAUAAGAAUCAGACCACUCUUCCUCUUUUCCACUUGGGUAGGUCACCCAUUAUAAUGAGACCACUUUUUACACAUUCUUUUGUUCCAGUUAAAUGAGGUCGCCAGAUGGGAUCUCAUGUAGCUUUGGUUAAAUGGAAUCGCCAGAUGGGGUUUCAGGUUAACCGAGCUACACACAUUCCUUGGUUAUGGUUAAAGGGGAUCGGCAAAGGGAUCUCAGUUUAACCUAAUUGGAAAGGAUUUUGGUUCUGGUUAGAGGGGAUUGCCGAAAGGAAUCUCAGUCUAGCCCAACCCUACACAUUCCUUGGUUAUGGUUAAAGGGGAUCGACGAAGGGAUCUCAGUUUAACCUAAUUGGAAAGGAUUUUAGUUCUGGUUAGAGGGGAUUGCCGAAAGGAAUCUCAGUCUAACCCAACCCUACACAUUCCUUGGUUAUGGUUAAAGGGGAUCGACGAAGGGAUCUCAGUUUAACCUAAUUGGAAAGGAUUUUGGUUCUGGUUAGAGGGGAUUGCCGAAAGGAAUCUCAGUCUAGCCCAACCAUACAAAGGAUUUUGGUUCUGGUUAGAGGGGAUUGCCGAAAAGAAUCUCAGUAUAGCCCAACCAUACACAGGAUUUUGGUUCUGGUUAGAGGGGAUUGCCGAAAGGAAUCUCAGUAUAGCCCAACCCUACACAUUCCUUGGUUAUGGUUAAAGGGGAUCGACGAAGGGAUCUCAGUUUAACCUAAUUGGAAAGGAUUUUGGUUCUGGUUGAAGGGGAUCGACGAAGGGAUCUCAGUUCAGUCUAACCACACAGACCUUGGUUAUGGUUAAAGGGGAUCGACGAAGGGAUCUCAGUUUAACCUAAUUGGAAAGGAUUUUGGUUCUGGUUGAAGGGGAUCGGCGAAGGGAUCUCAGUUCAGUCUAACCACACAGACCUUGGUUAUGGUUAAAGGGGAUCGACGAAGGGAUCUCAGUUUAACCUAAUUGGAAAGGAUUUUGGUUCUGGUUGAAGGGGAUCAACGAAGGGAUCUCAGUUCAGUCUAACUACACAGACCUUGGUUAUGGUUAAAGGGGAUCGGCGAAGUGAUCUCAGUUUAGCCUAAUCACGCAGAAUCACUAGAUGGGAUUUUAGGUUGAUCGAGCUACACCGAUUUUUAUUCUUGUUAGAUCUCCAGAUGGGAUCUCGGAUAAACCCAAUCAAAAGGGAAGGUCGCCCGUGAAAAUAGACCAGUGUGAGUGUGCGGGCAGGUCGCCCCUGAAAAUAGACCAGUGUGAGAGUGUGGGUCGGUCGCCCCUGAAAAUAGACCAGAGUGAGUAUGUGUGGCAGGUCGCCCCUGAAAAUAGACCACUUUGAGUAUGUAUGGGCAGGUCGCCCGUGAAAGUAGACCAGUGUGAUUGUGUGGGCCGGUCGCCCCUGAAAAUAGACCACUUUUCUUCAAAAGGGGCAUGUCGCCCAAGAUAAUAAGAUCAUUUUCUUUUGUUUUCUUUACAAAGCUUACUAUGCAAAAUUUUGAGGAGUUUUGCUUCGUAAGCAUUGUAAAGAGGGGGCAUCUGUUGUUACCCAAUUUUUGACCCAUCUUUUUAAUAAAUUUUUCGAAAAAAAUCCAAAAAUAGUGAAAAACAACAAAAAUCCAAAAAAAUAUGUUUUUAAUAUAUUUGCAAUGUUUUUAGCAUUUUCAAUAUUUUCUAAAAAGAAUUUUAAUUUUCAAUUGUUUUUCGAACGCGUUCGACUUUUCACGUGUCAUUUUAAAAUCAUUGUUUUUCUCAUAGAAUUGAUGUUGAUUUUGGCUCAUUUUUAAAAAAUACAAGAAAAAAUCAAAAUUUACAAAAAAAGAAAAUUGAAGGACCAAUUUGGAGGUUUGAACAAACUUUUACCUAUAAAUAUGGGUUGAAAACUCAAAUGAAGAGAGGAGGGGGUCAUUUGGUAAUUUUGGGGGAGAGGAAACACAAAACAGAAACCCUAGGAGCUGAACUUUUUCUUCUCCCUCUCCCGAAAGGCAGCCGCCACCCCCUCCUGGAAUAUUUUUUUUUUUUUUAUCCCUUCUUCCAAAAAACACAAAAGAAAAACCCUACAAGCCCUUUUUUUUCUUACUCACCGGAGGCGCCGCCCCCCCCCUGUUACUUUCAAAUCCCCAAACAGUCCCCCCCUCAUUUUGAUUUUCUUCUCCUACAGCCACCAGAGAACCAGCCACCGCCGACCUCCUUUCCUCAUCCCCGCAGCUCCGGCGCCUCCCAAGUCUUCUCCCCUCAGCCGAAGCUUCCCUUUUCCUGUUGAAGACGACCGUUGUUUCCCCAGUUUGGACCCGUGGGUUUCUUCUCCUUCGCCCGUCUCCACCGCGGCUUCAACGACCACGGACAGACCCAGCUCAGCCUCCACCCGAACCAGCCGUCCUCGCCGAAGACCCAGCAGCCAGCCCGAUCGUGGGCAUCUUCCCCUCUCAGCUGCUCCCUUCUCCAGCCACCAACUCACCAAGACCAAAGGAGGGCAUAUCCGCUCCCCGGGCAGCAACGCCAUCCUCCUCCGACAUCCAGCCCUCCCCAUCACCAGAUCGUCUCCUCCUCCACGACGAUCAGCCACCGGAGAAGAAGAAGAAACAAGAACAGAUCGGCGGAGGGAAGCAGACCCGAAACGAAGAGGAAGAGAAAUAAAUUGAAAACAAAGAACAAAAAUUAAAAUCGACUGCUUUGUUGGGUUUUCUGUUGUUACUGCAGGUCGGCGCCGGCGAGGAAAGAAAGGGGAAGGAGGUCGUUGCAGACCCCCCCUGUUCGGUUUGUUUUCUGAGGCGGCGCGUGGGUUCACGUGCUGCCAGUGACGGUGGCGCGUGGGAGGACGCGCCGCCACUGUUCCCGAGCACUGUUCCCGCGGACUCCAGAAGCCUUAGGAUGUUUUAGGGGCUGUUUUUUGUAAUUUUAAGUUGGUUGAUGUAAUUUUUUUGUUUAGUAUUGAAUUUUUUAUUUGUAUUAUGUAAAUGUUGAUGUAAAAGAAAAGGAAAAGAAAAGAAAAGAGAAAGUGAUAAUAAAAAAAAAAUGUUUGUGUGUGCUUGUAUUUUUUUUUAUGUAUGUUUUUGAAUAAAAAAAAAUGAAUUUAAUUUAUGUGCAUAAAUAUCUAAAGGACAGAUAAAAAUCAUGUUGAAUUUUCCAUGGAAAUGUAGAACAUGUAUCUACAUAUAGUCUGGAAAAGUAAUAACUGAUUUAUCAAAGCCUUAGAAUUGGGUUAAAAUUUUAUUUUUAAUAUCACAUCAAGUCCAUGAAGCUUGAAAGUGAAUGUGGUGUGUAUGUUUUUUAUGAUAAAAUUGCAAGAAUAAAGAAGAAUUUAAUAUUCCGAUUUAAUCACGGAUAAAGAAUCAUGAACUUACAUGUAAGUUGUAUUUUCUAAAAUUCGAUGAAAGAACAGAAUUUUUAAAACUUCUUUAACACAUCAAGUCCACAAAGCAGCUUACCUCAGGUAGGGUGUGUUAGGGGUGCUAAUACCUUCCCUAACCACAACCAGUUCCUUACCCGCGAUCUCUAACAAGACCAGUACAUCAGGUUUUCUAGUAGCCCUCAAUGAAUUACUAGGUGGCGACUCCAAAGAACCAAAUCAGCAAAACAGAACGAAUAAUCGCCAGCCCGAUGCCGCGCGCCAGGAUUUUUUUUGGGGUGCGACAAGUAUUACAAAAGAAAUAAAACAAAAAAAAUAGAAAAAAAAAAUUCAGAUUGUACCCAAACAAGGAACAAUAAGUUUAAAAAAAAAAAAAAAAAACUAGUAGUAAUGUCUUUAAGUGAUUUGUUGAUUAAGUUUCGUCUUGGCAUCUCAAAGUCAUCAAAUGCUUUAUUAAAAACAUUUUAUAAUUAUUUGAAGUUUUCCAAGCAUAAAAUGUUCAAGUUUAUUAUAGAGGAAUGUGUUCUAGUUUAUUUACUGAAAGAGUUCCAUCUUUGUCAGGAAAAAUCACAAACUAAUUCAGAAUAUCCAAAUAAACCUGAUGUGUAGUAAUAGCGCAUAAAUUUAAUUUUUAUUAUUUUGAAUUAUAAAUCCUCAUUAUAUCAUAAUUAUAUCUAUAAAUUCUCAGCUAAAUUGAUUCAUAUACAACACAUGUCCUAGCAUUUGAUCAAAGCUAGAUAGAUCACCCAAGUAGCUAAUAUUUUUUUUUCUAUAUUUGUUCUCCGUAUAAAACACAUUAAAUAUAUAUUAAAAACUCCUAACAAAUUAGGCUGAACCCCUCUCUCUUUAUAUGGGCUUAAUGAUCCCACAUGGAUCAAACUAAACAGAAAUAUAUAGGUUACCUUGCAGAAUUCGAGGGAAACCAGCUAAACAUUUUCUAGCAUGCAUUUUUCUAUAAAUGUGAUGUCUUAAAUUUUGAUGUUAAUGUCACUGAACUUGUUAUUGAAUCGGAGGUUCAACUUGAGAUUAUUUAUCUUGAUGUUAUGUUUUGAUUCUGAAUAUAAAGUAAAUAUUAGAUAUAAUAUGAAUUAUAUAAAGAUAUUUGAAUGAUAAGCAAGUUAUUUUAAUAGAUUUAUUUUUCCUGUGUAAGGGUGUAUGUAGUUCCAUAUAUAUGUAUAUAUAUAUAAAUAUAAUUAAACGAACUAAAUUAGAUCCGGUCCGUUUUUUAAUAGAACUUAACCAAUUGAAUAGGAGAACCCAGUUUUUUAAGUGAAUCGAAUUACUGUUAUGAAAUACUUGACAACGAAGAAAUGCACAAUCUUUCCCUCUCACUAUCAAUUGAUUCAAUUUUCCCAUCAACUUCAAAGGACGCUUGGAAAUUUUGGCUGCAGGUGAGUGUGAACCAGCUAAGGCUGCAUCCAAAUAUAAUUAUAAGAUAAACAAACAUCGUUUUCGUUAUGGGGUCUGCCUUCAUGCAUUUGAAAUUUUUAACUUCACAUGCUCAGUGGGUUGAUCGGUGGAUUCAACAUCAAAGGGCUGAAAUGAAGAUUUAAUAAUUUUACAGGGAUUAUUAUGUACAAAUAUACUUGACCUCUUAGAAAUCAUUUUAAAGUUCACAUUUAUAAAUUUAUAGUCAUUUUCAUAUGUAUUUGGGUAGACAAGAGACUUAGACCUGUUUGGAACAAGGUUUAAACCGUGUUUCAUAAAAUUUUAAUUUUUUAAAAAAAAAAAUUUUUAAUAAUUUUAGAUUAUUUUGAUGUUUUGAUGUCAAAAAUGAUAUUUUUAAAAAAUAAAUAAUUUUAAUUUAUUUUUAAAUAAAAAACACUUUGAACCAUAAUCGCUACUACAGUUCUAAUUAAACGCUUAGAGAGAGAGAGAGAGAGAGAGAGGUGCAGCAAUAUAUAAGGAAGAGGCUCGCUGCUUGGGAUCCUAUAUACAGACACAGUCCUGCUGGGUUCAACUUUAGAUUACUAUGGGUAAAAACAUUUAGUUAGGCUGUUUGAAAUAUGAUCUCCAUUAUCUAUAUUAUAGAUCCUCAUAUCGUAAUUGUAUCUAUAAAUUCUCAGUUAAAUUGAUUUAUAUACGACGCAUAUAGUAGCAUUUGAUCAAAACUGGAUAAAUCACCCAAAUACUAUUUCUAGGAAGCUAAUAUAUGCAUAUAGUAGCAUUUGAUAAUGUGGAUUUAUGCAAGUUUCAAGUUUAAAAGACUUUUAUUUAUGAGAGUAUGUUAAAAAAAUAAUAUAAAUUAUAUCUUAGAAUCUUAUUUAAUACCUUAAAUUAUUGGGUUUAGAUAUUUCUUUGAGAAUAGCCUUUAUGUAAUGCAUCAUCGAUCCAAAGCAAUUGAAUAACUUAAGUGCUUCAAAUUUGAAAAAUCUAAAAAUUAAAGACCAUGCAUAUAAACAAAUUAUAUCAAAUUUUCAUAUAAAUUGACGUUUAAGUGAUAACGACUGAAUCGAUGGAGUGUACAUACGUUCCAAAAAUAUGAAAUGACUGAUCAAGAGUAAUUACAACAAUUCAUGUGAAAUUUUUGUAUGAUUUUCUUAUAGCAUUGCUCUGAAAAAUUACACGGACAAAUAUAAAUCAUAUCUCGAGAUUUAAUCUAAUAGUUUAAGCUAUUGAGUUAAGAUGACUCUAUAACAUGGUAUUAAAGUUUUGAUGACCAAGUGGUCACGAGUUCAAAUCUCACCAAUCCUAUUUAUUUGAUAAAAUUAAGCACAUGAUAAUGUGGACCUAUGCAAGUUUCAAGCUCAAAAGACAUUUAUUUAAGAGGGUGCGUUAGAAAAUAAUAUAAAUUAUAUCUUGGGACCUUAUCUAAUAACUUAAAUUAUUGGGUUGAGAUGGUUAUCUAAGAAUAGCCUUUGUGUAAUGCAUCAUCAAUCCAAAGAAAUUGAAUAACUUAAGUGCUUCAAAUUUGAAAAAUCUGAAAAUUAAAGACCAUGCAUAUAAACAAAUUAUAUCAGAUUUUCACAUAAAUUGACGUUUAAGUGAUAACGACUGAAUCGAUGGAGUGUACAUACGUUCCAAAAAUAUGAAAUGACUAAUCAAGAGUAAUUUCAACAAUUCAUCUGAAAUUUUUGUAUGAUUUUCUUAUAGCAUUGCUCUGAAAUAUUACACGGACAAAUAUAAAUCAUAUCUCGAGAUUUAAUCUAAUAGUUUAAGCUAUUGAGUUAAGAUGACUCUAUAACAUGGUAUUAAAGUUUUGAUGACUAAGUGGUCAUGAGUUCAAAUCUCACCACUCCUAUUUAUUUGAUAAAAUUAAAAGUUCAAAUCUCACCACUCCUAUUUAUUUGAUAAAAUUAAGCACAUGAUAAUGUGGAUCUAUGCAAGUUUCAAGCUCAAAAGACUUUCAUUUAAGAGGGUGUGUUAGAAAAUAAUAUAAAUUAUAUCUUGGGACCUUAUCUAAUAACUUAAAUUAUGGGGUUGAGAUGGUUAUCUGAGAAUAGCCUAUCGAUCCAAAGCAAUUGAAUAACUUAAGUGCUUCAAAUUUGAAAAAUCUGAAAAUUAAAGACCAUGCAUAUUAACAAAUUAUAUCAAAUUUUCACAUAAAUUGACGUUUAAAUGAUAAUGACUGAAUCGAUGGAGUGUUCAUACCUUCCAAAAAUAUCAAAUGACUGAUCAAGAGUAAUUACAACAGUUCAUCUAAAGCAUUGCUCGAAAAAUUACAUGGACAAAUAUAAUCAUGAAGUAGCAUGGAAAAAUGUGCUUUGAUUUUGUGAAAUAACAUAGAAAUCACUAUAUUAGUUAUGUAAAAAUAUAUCUCAAAAAAUUAUGAUCUUGAAUAUUUAUUAUGAGGAAAACUAUAUUUUUACUAAUUAUUUGAAUUAUUUUUUACCUGAAUGGAUCACAUUAAAUUAAUUCUUAUAUGGUUUAAUUUAUUUUUUUUCUACUAGAAAAAACACUAAUAAUACCUAAAUAGUUUUUUCAUACAUUAAAAUAAUGAUCUAGCGGGCUAAAAAUCUAGUUACACCUAAUAUUGGUCCCACCAAAAUACAUGUUUUUAAAUUACGUUAAUUUUAAUGUAAAAUUUAUCAAAUCCCAUUACAUAAAUUUUACAUACUUACUCCUAUCAUUAAUACUUAACUCGAUCAUUUUUUUGCACCCUCGAUACUUCAUCAUUUAAUUUAGAAUUCUUAAAUUUACUAACGACUUUAUAAUGCUAAUUUGUUCUGAUAAAUAAAUUAAUAGCCUUCAAGUAAUGCAUCUAGAAGAUGAAAAAUAAUAGAUUGAGCUGAAUCAUCGACCAAAUAACAUAACUUAAUAGUUAAUUAGGAGGAUUUUAUGCAUAGUUUUAAAUUAUGUUCCUUCUUGAUCAUGACAAUUCAUCGAGAAGCAAAAAAACUAUAUAAAAUUUUUCACAUAAAUUGAUGUGUUAAGUGAUAACUACUGAAGCGAUAUAUUGAGUGUACAUGCAUUCCAAAAAUAUUAAAUGAUUGAUUAAGAGUAAUUACAAUAGUUCACACAUGAAAUUUUCUUAUGAUUUUCAUAUAGCAUUGCUCUAAAAAAUUUACAUGGACAAUUAUAGUCCUUUAGUUGUAUGGAAAUAAAAAUGUCUUAAUUUUGUGAAAUAAGAUAGAAAUUACUAUAUUAGUUAGGUAAAAUAUAUCUUAAAAUUUCCUUGUUAUUACUCUCUCCAUAUUUACACACACCUUCCAUUCAUUCUUGGUUUGUUUCCCCGAACGUGCAGAUCACUGGAAAACGAGAAGCUUACUGCAAGAACUUCGUACUUGAAAAACAAUGAGCACGCAAGUGGAUCAGAUAAUGGAAGACGAUAGGGAAAGUGUUCCAAAUAAAGGAAAAGAUAUAGCAAUUAGUACCUUAGGUGUUUCUAACAUCAAACGCAACAUUGAGAUGACUGGAGAUAUUUUCGCACAGCUGCAAAAUAAGAUGGAAUCGUUGACCUCUCAACAGGACGGGGCUAAGUGUUGUAUCUACAGGGUGCCCAAUUCGUUUCGAAAGGUAAGACCGAAAGCCUACACUCCACAACUUAUUUCAAUAGGUCCUCUUCACCGCGGCGAUAAAAGACUAAAGGACAUGGAACAGCAAAAAUUGAGAUAUUUCAAAGAGUUUGCUGAACGGGAUGUGAUGGGUGAGAAGAAAAUCGCGGAUCUCGUGAUCAGCAUUCGGGAGAAAGAAGCGCGUAUCCGAGCCAGUUAUUCAGAGAACUUUAGCAAAAUUACAAGCAGUGAUUUCAUAGAGAUGAUCCUGUUGGAUGCAGUCUUCAUCAUUGAGUAUUUUAAGGAUUCAAAUGAUUAUGGAGACCCAAAAAUCCAGGACCCAAUGUUUUCGACAAAAAAACACCAUCAAAGCCGCGCGGGAACGUCCCACAAUGGACAUUCUGAAAGUGUUAAGCCGUGGAUGAUAUUUGACAUACGAGAAGACUUGAUGCUACUUGAAAACCAACUACCUUUCUUCAUUAUUGAGGAAAUAUAUGAGAGGGCCUUUUGCAAAGAUCCAGAAACCUUUCCUUUUCUUCAACUUGCUACCGUUUAUUUUGGAAAGUACACGUUUUCACAAGGGGUGCAAAACACCCACCCGGGUGUAGAGGGAAGCAGGCAUUUCACUGAUUUACUAAGGAAUUUUAUGUUGAUGGGAUCCAUUGAACGAAGAUAUAGUUUUAAUCCUAUCAAACUGAAAUAUAAUGCCGUCAUGCUUCGCAAGGCAGGGGUGACGUUUCAGGUAACCGAAGACAAAUGUUUGGUCAAUAUAAAAUUUGAGGAAGGAGUGUUGAAAAUACCACGCUUGGAAGUUGAUUACUGCUUCGAACGUGUUGUACGAAAUAUCAUGGCCUUGGAGCAGUGCGGCUACCCGUAUGAAGCUUACGUAUGCUGUUACAUUAAGUUUAUGGACCAUCUUAUCGACAGUGCAGAAGACGUGGGUUUGCUAGCUGAAAAUGGAAUUAUUCUCCACUGGCUAGGUGACGAUGCCGCAGUUUCAAAAGUGAUUAAUAAGCUUUGCGAAACAAUCACGGACACUUAUACGUUUUAUGAUGAUAUCUGCAAAAAGAUGAAUGGCCACUAUGAGAACCGCUCGAACCAUAUGAUGGCAAACUUGAGACAUGUAUAUUUCCCCACUGUUUGGAGAGGUACGGCAACUGUUGCAGCAGCUAUCCUCCUGAUCCUCACUUUGAUACAGACUAUCACUUCCGUAAAAUCGGUAUUCUAGGAUUUUAUCUCGUUUAGUUUCAUUAUUCCUACGUAUGAUUGAUGUGAUUGUUAUUGUUAAUUUCCUUUGAAGAUUAAUUGUUGUUAAACUUUGGGCAUGUGUAUUUCUGAACUAAUAAUGUUGUUGCAAAUUCUUGUUGUAUUGUCCUCAAAUUGAGUUUGUACUUGUUUCUCAAAAUUCUCUUCUUAAUUUUAAGAUCAUCUUCAGCUUAAAUGAAGCUGAAGAUUAAUGCAUGAUCUCAAUUUCGAUAUCCCCAGUUUACCUAACAAUGAAUUUGACAAAAACCUGAAAAUCAAAGAAAUGAGUUGUUGUCUCCAAGACUAUUUCGGUCACAUAUAAAGCCUCAUAAAUCUCGACUUUUCUUCUCCUUUUCCUUUUCCUUAUAGGAAACUCUCUUUGUCCAGUUCCCACAAGAACACUGCCUCUGUUUUCCAACUUAUAGAAAAUGGAGCUCGAUGGUGGUUUUAUCUUGUGAAUAAUUAUGAUUUGUGAGUGUUUUUAUUCAAAUUAAUUGACUUAUAGUUUUUAAAUAGAUUAGAAAAUGUUUUAGAGUUAAAAAUAAAUUUAUUGAGAUUUUUAUGAUAUUUUCAAAAUAUUUUUAGAUAAAAAUAUAUUAAAAUAUUGGAUUUUAAGAUUCAAGAAAUUUGAUAACGAGAAAUUUUAUAGUAAACAUUAUAUUACAUGUUUAUAGUAUACUUUAAACAUAAUUUUCAAAUCUGACCUCGAAUCUUACCAGAAAAAAGGUCUUGGACAUUGGAUUCCUAAGUUAACUUAUGGGUUAUUAAAUUAACCUUUAAUUAUUUUUAUUAAAAUAUUAUUAUUUUAUUUUAAAAAAUUUCUAGAUGUUAAUCUAGUCAUGUCUAGAUUGGGUUUGACUAAAUUAAUUUAUUAGGUUAAUUUUUUUUUAUACUUCAACUUAAAACUUAUUCUAGAUCAAAUUCUCAAAUAUAAAUUUUUCAGAUUAAUAUAUGUACUUUUAAAACAUGCUAUGAAAAUAAAAGAUGCAAAUUAAGUUCAUUAAGAGUUUGUUUGGCAUUGCAAUUGUGAUUGUUUUUUAAAAUAUUUUUCAUUUAAAAAUAUAUUAAUUUUUUAUUAUUUUUUAAAACAAUUAUUUUUGAUACCAACACAUUAAAAUAAUUAAAAAACUAAAACAUUAAUACAUUUGUUUUUAAUUUUAAACAACAAUAUUUUGUUCAUAAUGUCAAACACAAUCAUAGAAAUCUCAAAAUAUUUUUAAUAAAUUAAGGAUAUGUUUGGGAGCAGUUUCACUAUUAUUUCACAAAAUUUUAAUUUAUUUUAAUUUAAAUUAAUUUUUUUUAAUUAUUUUGAUAUGUUAAUAUUAAAAUAAAUUUUAAAACUAAAAAAAUUAAAAAAAUAAUAUAAUUUACUGAAGUGGUAAACCCAAAAUUAUUUUGAUUGAAAUUUCAAUGGCCUCACAAAGAUAAUGAAGAAUCUGUCUGGAAGUGUGGUUGCGGUUAUUUUUUAUAGUGAUUUUUACUUAGAAAUUUAUUAAAAUAAUUUUUUUUUAUUUUUUAAAAAAUAUUUUUUAAUUUGUUUAGAAAUGUGGUUGCGGUUACUUUUUAAAAUAAUUUUUUUAAAAAAAAAUUAUUUUUGAUAUUAGUGUAUUAAAAUAAUAUAAAAAUAUCAAAAAAUUUUAAUUUAAAAUAAAUAAAAAUUUUAAUUUUUUUUAAAAAUAUUUUAAAAAUACAAAAAUAAUCAGGACCGAAAUAGCAAAAUAUCACGUGCAUCACACGUGACAAAAAGGCCAAUUUAUAAGAGCAGAGUCCUUGCAGCUAGCUGUGACAGAGAAAAUGGAGAGAGACUGCGAGACAGCAUAGUAGACCUGCUAAAAUUCACUCUUGAAUCCCACGCUAACCAAACCCUAGAAUUCAAUCUGGGACUCUCCAAAGAGUUCUGCAUUGACCUCCUAGAAGAAGACCCAAAUGACAUGUCAUGUCAUGUAACUGUCCAGCAACGGGUAAUGAAAAACCAUAUAAAAAAGUUUUCUGUGUUUUUUUUUUCAAUUAUUUGAUUUGAUUUUUAUGCAUAAGUAAUUAAAUGGACUGGAGAUUAUUUUGAUGGGGUGGCUCAAUAUCCUUUGUAUAAGCGUUUAGCUUUGUAUCAUUCUGUAAAGUGUGGUGCUUUAUGGAGAACUCAUGUGAAGAUGAUGUUUUGUGAUGAAGAUAGUAACUUGAAGUAGAAAUAAGAGAAUUGGAAUCAGUUGAUUAAAGAAAAGGACAUGUGCUGAAUUAGUAUAUUAAUUUGUAGACUAAACUAACUACUCUUGAUUUUGCCAAUGAAUGAUCACUAAUAAUGGCAGCUAUUAAAAUGUCUUUAUUUAAGGUAAUUAGUAUAUAAUAUAAUAUCUUUUGGAUUUUCUUAAUUUAUUGAUGUGAUCUAUAUUAUUUUGUAUUUAAUUUUUAAUAAAUAAAAUAGAGAUAAUGAGACUUGAAAUUAUAACUGCUUAAUAAAAUAAUAUAGAUGAAGGUCCUAACAGGUUUGAUUAAGCGGUUAUAAAAUAGAGAUAAUGAGACUUGAAAUUAUAACAGGCUUAAUAAAAUAGCGAAUAAUGAUGAAGGUCCUAACAGGUUUGAGCCUAGGACGAUAUUGGACAUACGAGAAGACUUGAUACUACUUGAAAACCAACUACCUUUCUUCAUUAUUCAGAAAAUAUAUGAUAAGUACAAUCGUGCUCGCCAAGAUCCAACAGCCAUUCCUUUUUUCGCUCUUGUUACCUCUCAUUCUAAAAAUUACACGUUUUUAAAAAAGGUAGAAACCACCCGGAGUGUAAAGAAUAGCAGACAUUUCACUGAUUUACUAAGAAAUUUUAUGUUGAAUGGAGCCAGGCAGCUGAAUGGAUCCAGUAAUCCUGUCAUGCUGAGGCAUAGUGCUGUCAAGCUUCGCGCGGCAGGAGUCAAGUUUGAGGUCGUCGAAGACGAAUGUUUGCUUAACAUAACAUUUGAUAAAGGAGUGUUGAAAAUACCACGCUUGGAAGUUGAUUACCACUUCGAACGUGCUGUACGAAACAUCAUGGCCUUGGAGCAGUGCUUGUACCAGAAUGAAGCUUACGUAUGCAGUUACAUUAAGUUUAUGGACCAUCUUAUCGACAGUGCAGAAGACGUGGGUUUGCUAGUCGGAAAGAAAAUCAUUACCCACAGGCUAGGUAACGAUGCCGCAGUUUCAGAUAUGAUUAACAAGCUUUGCAAAAAUAUUAGUGACCCUUAUACUUAUUAUGAUGAUAUGUGUACAAAGAUGAAUGCCCACUGUGAUAGCCUCUUUAACCGUAUGAAGGCAACCUUGGAACUUGUAUAUUUCGCCCAUGUUUGGAGAGGUACGGGAACUGUUGCAGCUGCUAUCCUGCUGAUGCUCACUUUGAUACAGACUAUCACUUCCGUAAAAUCAUUAUUCUAGGAUUUUAUCUUGCUUAGUUUUAUUAUUCCUUUGUAAUGAUGGAUUGGAUUAUUAUUGUUAAAAUUGCAGUUAAACUUUGGGUUUGUGUAGUUCUGAACUAAUAAUAUUGUAUCAAUUUCUUGCUGUGUUGUCCUAAAAUUGAGUUUUUGUGCCCUAUGUGAUGUCCUUUCCCCUCGAUAUUUUCUUCUUUUAAGAUCAUCUUCUGAUUGAAUGAAGCUGGAAAAUUAAAGCAUGAUCUCCAUUUCAAUAUCCCCAGUUUAACUAACAAUGAAUUAGACAAAAACAUGAAAAUCAAAGAAAUGAACAACGACAGAUAAGAGGCAGGAAGUGAUAUCUAUAGUUUUGCACAGAAGUAGAGGUAAUAACGACGAAUGGUGUUACAAUUGCUGUUCAGCCGUGCCUUUAUUUGGCUACAUUUGGAUAUGGAAGUGAUAUAAUUUGUGUCUUUCUUGCAGAUCGCAUUUAGAAAAUAUUGUUAUUUAAAGACGCUCUGUGAGCUAAAUAGUUCUAACAGCUGUUUCAUGCUUUCGAAUUUUGGGGUUAAGAAAUACUGAAUGUGUAAAAUAAUCAUCAAAUGCACACAUAUAGUCAAAUAAUCAGAAUUUAGGAUAGACAACUUUCCAAUGGAAGAUCCAUUACAUGAAUGUGUAAAAAGUGUUAAAUAAUAUUUAUGUAGAAUUAUUUAUUAAGGGUAAAUAGUAUUUUCAGUUUAACCUAUAUAUACUUUCUUUGUAUUUAUGUUAACACUAAGCACUCAUAAUAAACAGAUGAUUAAGAAUUCUAGCCUUAUUUUUAUGUUUGAUCUUAAUUAUUUUAACAUGGUAUCAGAGCUGAUUUUAUAAAACGAGGCUUAAUCCCGAACAUAGCUUUCGUGGAUCCAACUGCAAUUAUUUUGUCUUCCGCUUCUGUAAAAUUUGGUAUUUCGUUAGUUUCUGAUUAUUUUGGUAUUUUGUCUUCCCUUCAACUUCUGCAAUUUGGUAUUUGCAUUUAAUUUCUGCAAAUUUGUUUUGUGUUUUGGAGUAAUCGUAUAAUUUUGAGAAGAUAUUUGUUUAGUUUCUGUAAUUUCUAUUCAGUUUCUGCAAUUUGGUAUUUUGUUUUCCGCUACUUUUGCAUUCUAGUUCUCUGUGAUUGUUGAUUAUGGCUACUAAAAGAUAUGAUUCACUUUAGUCUAUGAGUGUGAGGUUGGAUAGAAAGAACUAUUCGUAUUGGAGCUAUGUAAUGAGAAUUUUCUUAAGGGUAAGAAGAUGUGGAGAUAUGUCAGUGGAACUUAUGUGGUACCUAAGAAUACUGAAGAAGGAGAUACUGCUUCGAUAGAUGCAUGGGAAGCAAACGAUGCAAAUAUCAUUACUUGGAUCAACAAUUCUAUUGAGCAUUUUAUAGGUACGUUGUUGGAAAAGUGUCGCACCUGACAUCGCGGCGGCCUUAAAAAUUAAUUUAAAAUCUUUGGAAAGAACGGAUUUCUGGCAUCCUGUUCUUUAAUGUGGAUAUUCUUGUUUAAGGAGUCGCCACCUAGUAUUACGGUCACUAAGAACCCUAACUGAUCAACAGAGAUUCUAUGGUUCGGGACUGGUUACGUAAAAGGGAAGAUUUUAUCACCCCUUAAACGUCCUGCCUGAGGCAGGCUGCAUUGCUAGUUUCGUCUUAAAUUACUAAAUGUUUAUUAGUUUAUGUUAUAAAAAUUUGCUUAUAAUAUUCCUGACUCUGGCGCCAGUGAAUAUUUAACUACGAAUAUUUCCAACUCUGGCGUUGGUAAAUAUUACGCAGGUAUAAAACAAAAUAAAUUUAAAUCAAUAUUUUUUUUAUUCCCGACUCUGGCGCCAGUAAAUAAACAAAUAAAAUAAAUUUAUUUUUUACGCAUGCACAAUCUUUUAUUUUUCUAGCUAAAUAAAAUAAAAUGCAACGAAUAAAAAUAAUAUAAAUUUAAACCGGUAUUUUUAUUCCCGACUCUAGCGUCAGUAAAUAAACCAAUAAAUUUAUAUUAUUUUUAUUCACACAUACACAUUUUUAUUUUUUAUUUUUCCUACCUUUUUAUUUUUCUGCUUUUUAUUUUUUUUAUUUUUUUAUUUUUUGGACUGGGCCCCGCUCAGCCCACAUGGGCUGGGCUAGGCCCAGCCAGCCCGGCCCGGCCCGGCCACUGGCCCAAGCCAGUGGCCCGGCUGGGCUGCAUCAAAACGCACGCGUGAAGUGAAUUCACGCGUGCCUUGAACUGUGCGAAGGUAAUUUAAUUACCUUCGCACUGUUCAAUUGCAACUCAAUUUGAAGAACAAAAAUGAAGGGGAACGGCUUACCUGCUCUGCGAGGCGAUGAAGAUGAUGGUGAAGCUCUGGCUGGCCAACACUACCUUUUCUCCUAUGCUCCUUCUUCUGCUUUCCUUUGCUUCUGUGUUCACCGAUUGCUUUCGUGUUCCAGUAGCUUUUGAGAUGCUGAAGGAACUAAGAAGAUGAUGAAGACGCUGGCUGGAUUUGUUUUGACUGAUUUCUGGGUUGUUCCUUUUAUGUGCAGGAACGAAGGCAAAUUCAAGGCUAAUUCAUGCCUCUGUGUUGCUGAGGCCUUUUGUUUUAUUUUGCUUCCGUUUUUAUUCCCGCUUUUGUUCCCCUGUUUAUGAUAGGUUUUUUUUCUUCCUCUGGUGUGCUUGCCUCUCCUCUGGUUUUCGGUUUCUGGGUUCUGUUUUUGGCUUGAUUCUUCCGUUCUUGACUCUGUGUUUUUUGGAUUCAUUUCCCCUCCCUGGUUCUGGUCUUCGGUCUCUCUUUUAUAGAGACCCACAGGUUGCCCCUAAUCAGUCCUGCCUUUGCAGGACUGUCUCUUCCACGAACGAGAUCGUGGGCAAGGGACGCGGUCCACGAUUGAAUCUGUUGCAGAUUUUCAGGUAUCCUGUUGAAUCGGGAUGAAGAAGAUCACACGGUUGUUCCACCAGCAACGGCAGCGUUUUGGCAGCAAGGAAUUCUACCAGCAACGACGACGUUUCAAGCAGCAGUGGAUAUUGUCAUUUUGAUCCCUGAACUUUAAAAAUUUGGCAAUUGGACCCUUAAGCAAAAAAUAAAAAUUAAACUUUACAAAAUAGUCCUUAAUUCCUGGAUUAUUUUCAAUUAAGUCCUUGGAUUUUUCAAUUUGAUCCUUAAUUAAUUCUUUCAAUUUUGCCCUUUUUGGAUAAAUUUCAAUUAAGUCCCUGAAUUUAUUUAAUUAAUUUAAACAAAGUUUAAUUAAGUCCGCAAACUUAUUAAUUCUUAUAAUUUCAUUAAUUAAACUAAUCCAAAUUUUAAAUAAAUUUCCAAACUUAUUAAUUUUUCAAUUUCUGACCAAUUAUUCUCAAAUCUGAUAUUUUUAUCCGUAAAUUUCAAAAUUUGUUGUUUUAACCCCAUUUUAAUUUUUUUUUAUUUGUUCAAAAAUUGGGUUAUGACAAAAAGUAUGAGACAACAAAGGAGGUUUGAGAUCAUCUGCAAUGGUUAUUUACGCAAUCAAAUUUUGCAAAACAGUAUCAGUUAGAUAAUGAUAUACGAGCUCUUCACCAGAAGAAUAUGAGUAUUCAAGAGUUCUCUUCUACCAUUACAGAUCUUUGGGAUCAAUUGACUCUAAAGAAAUGGCAAAAUUAAAAGCAUGUGGUGCUUAUAUUGAACGUAGAGAGUAGCAACGAUUGAUACAAUUUUUAACAGCACUUCAUAGUGAUUUCGAAGAACUUAGAGGUUCAAUAGUGCAUCGCUCUCCACUACCUUCUAUUGACUCGGUUGUCAGUGAGUUAUUGGCUGAAGAAAUACGUUUUCAGUCAUAUUUUGAAAAAGGGUAUUCUUUCUGCUUCGAAUCCUUCUGUACUAGCAGUACCUUCUAAGCAAUUCUCCAAUCACCACCAUAAGCCUUACACAAGGAUUGGCUUCAACGAGUGCAGUUUUUUUAAGCAAAAAGGUCAUUGGAAGGCUUAGUGUCCCAAGUUAAACAAUAGAAUCAAGUUUGAAAGCCUGACAGCCAAUCACAAUCUAAUACUCAUAGACCACCUCAGGGUUAUAAACCACCACACCACAAUACCACAACAGUAGCUUCUUCAGGCUUUAUUAUUGAUCCUAGUACUUUGGUUAAGCAAUUUUAGAAGUUUCUCUCAUUGUAGCCACAAGCAAUGUCCGCUUCUUCUUCUAUAGGCCAGUUGCCUCAUAGUUCCUUAUCUAUGUCACAUUCUGAAUGCGUUUUGGAUUCUGGUGCUUCACAUCAUAUGUCUCCAGAUUCUUUAUCUUUUACUUCUGUUUCCCCUUCGCCCUCCAUUCAUGUUAUGACUAUUAAUAGCACUCCAAUGCCCUUAGCAGGUAUUAGUUAUGUUGUCACACCUCACUUAACUCUUUUUAAUGUCUAUCUUAUUCCGAAUCUCAAAUUGAAUCUUGCUUCUGUAGGUCAAAUUAAUAUGUGAUUCUGGUGAUUAUUUAGUCAUUUUGUCCUUUUUUUUGUUGUGUAUAGGAUCUGCAGUCUCAAAAGCUGAUUGGAACAGGUCGUAGGGAGAAUGGACUAUACAUUUUGGAUGAGUUAAAAAUGCUAGUUCCCGUUGUUGCUACUACUAUUGUUAAUUUGUCUUCUUUUUGUUUGAGUCCUUCAUUUUCUAGUUUUUAAAUAAAUAAACACAAAACGUAUGUAUAAUCUUGAAUUUUUUUCAAUUUAAAUUAUAAAUUGAAUUAAUUUAUCUUUUUAAUUUUAAUUUAUCCAUUGGUUUUUUAAAAUUAUGCAAUUUUAAGCAAUCUAACUCUCAAUUUUUCUUAAUUGACAUUUUAACUUGAUUGUAUUUUAAAAUCAUCCUUGAACUUCAAUUUUUUUAAAAAAACUUAGCCAAAUUAACCCAUUUAUCAACUCCCUUUUCAAUUUAACCCUCAAUUGUAAUUCAAAAAUUUUUUAAUUUUAUUUUUGCCUAUAAUGCUCAAUUAUUGGUCCAAUUUCAAUCUCAACUAUUUUUUUAUAAUUUUUUAAAAUAUAUACAAAAAUAUAGGGUUGAAAUUGGGUAAUGACAAGUUAAGAAAAAAUUACAAAAGUUUUUUUGUAAAAAAAAAUAAAAUUGUUUGUUGUUUAUUUACUAGUAAUGCUAUAUAAAAGCACAAACUGUGUUUUGAAACAUUUGAUUUGAUAAGAAAAUACCCAUAAAUCUUACUAACAAUUAAAUAUAUUGAAAAGAAUUUAUUAGUAAUUAUUAAAUAUAUUGUCUUAUUUUAAAACUUCUACUUAUGAUGAGCAAAAAAAUUGAGAAAAUCUAAAAACAAUUAACCAAAAAAAUAAACAGAGAAAGGAACCAAAUGAACCAAUUAGAAAAGUUUUAAGAAAAUUGGUUUGGUUUCGUUUUGUUUCAAUUUUAAAAAUUCAAAAUUCAACUAACACUGUAUGAAUAUCCAAUUCUAUGCUGGGGGUUGGGUGGGCUACUUUAGUUUAGGUGAUAAUUUUCAUCUCUUUAAAGUUCUAACCCCAAAUCAAACCCAAACGUAGCUACUACCAAGCUUCUAAAACAAGAGAACAUGGCUUCCUAGGGCCAUAUCUCAUUUCCUCCACCACGCUCUCUCUCUCUCUGAAAUAUAUUUUGUUUCGUCGCAUUAUUGUUUUAAUUGGACAUGAAAUCACUUCUUUAGCAGCUUGUAGGUAUAGGCAGACAUUAGUUGAUUCAAUAUAAGGACAAGCAUUCUAUCUAUAAAGUUUACAUUUUCCCUGUAAGGGUGCAGGGUGUAUGUAGUUUCAUUUUUAUUUUUAUUUUUUAUAAAAAAACUAAAUUAGAUCCGGUCUGUUUUUUUAAUAGAAUUUAAGCAAUUGAAUAGGAAAAACCAGUUUUUUAAGUGAAUUAAUAAGAAGCUCUAGAUAUUCAAAAUCAUUUUAUCAAUAUAUUAUUUAUAAAAACAAUUGUUUCUUUUUAUAAAAUAUAAUAAUAUAUUUUAAUUAAUCUCAAAAUACAUUAACCGGUCCCUUCCCUUUGAUGGUUUUUUAGUCCUACAUGCUGUCUUAUAGUUUAGAGAAAAUUGUUUAAUGUGCGAGUGGGGGAUGUAUAAUUAUAGGAUCCAGGAUUCAACAUUAAAGGGCUAAAAUGAAGAUUUAAUAUUUACAGGGAUUAUUAUGUACAAAUAUACUUCAUCUUUUAGAAAUAAUUUUAAAGUUAAGGGACUUUCCUAGAUCCGCCCUUGCCAGGCUUGAAUCUAGAGAGCAUAUAGAAUUAAGUCCCUUAAUUAUAGCCAUUGUCUUGUGCAUCUGGGUAGACAAGGCAAGAGACUUAGAGAGAGAGGGGGGAGAGAGGGAGCGCGGUGCUGCAAUAUAUAUAUAGGAAGAGGCUCGCUGCUUGGGACUCUAUUUACAGACACGGUCCUCUGAUCUCCGUCCUCAGGUCAGCACUAACUUGUUCUGCUCUUUGAAAUGUUUAGUUUUUCGAAAUUUAAUGUUUUCGAUUUGCUUUAAGCUCUGCAGACAAUAAGUGAUUUGUCAGAUUGUACCCAAACAAGGAACAAUAAGUUUUUUUUAAAAAAAAACUAGUAGUAAUUUCUUUAAGUGAUUUGUUGAUUAAGUUUCAUCUUGGCAUCUCAAAGUCAUCAAAUACUUUAUUAAAAACAUUUUAUAAUUGUUUGCAGUUUUCCAAGCAUAUAAUGUUCAAGUUUAUUAUAGAGGAAUGUGUUCUAGUUUAUCUACUAAAAGAGUUCCAUCUUUGUUAGGAGAAAUCACAAACUAAUUUAGAAUACUGUAAUAGCGCAUAAAACACUAGUUAAACUGUUCUAAAUUUAAUCUUUAUUAUUUUAGAUUAUAGAUUCUUAUUAUGUCGUAAUUGUAUCUAUAAAUUCUCAGCUACAUUGAUCUUUCCCUCUCACUAUCAAUUUUUUAAAGGACGCUCGGAAAUUUUGUCUGCGGGUGAGUGCGAACCAGCUAAGGCUGCAUCCAAAUAUAAUUAUAAGAUAAACAAACAUCAUUUUCAUUAUGGGGUCUUCCUUCAUGCAUUUGAAAUUUGUAACUUCAUAUGCUCAGUGGGUUGAUCGGUGGGUUUUUUUUUUUUAUAUAUAAAAGACUAUCUGCUGAUAGAAAAAAAGAUGGAUCCAGGAUUCAACAUUAAAGGGCUAAAAUGAAGAUUUAAUAAUUUUACAGGGAUUAUUAUGUCCAAAUAUACUUGAUCUCUUAGAAAUCAUUUUUAAGUUCACAUUUAUAUAUUUAUAGCCAUUUUCAUAUGCAUUUGGAUAGACAAGAGACUUAGGAAUUUAUAAUGUUUUUUUAAAUUUUAAUUUUUUUAUUUAAAAUUAAUUAUUUUAAUAUUUUUAAAUUAUUUUGAUAUGCUGAUAUUAAAAAUAAUUUUUUUAAAAAAACAAAAUAAAUUAUUUUAAUAUAUUUUUAUAAAAAAACAUUUUAAACUGUAAUUGGUAUCAUAAUUCUAAGUACACAUUGAGAGAGAGAGAGAGAGAGAGAGAGAGACGUGUAGCAAUAUAUAGGAAAGAGGCUCGUUGCUUGGGAUCCUAUGUAUAGACACAGUACUGCAGGAUUUGACUUUAGAUUACUAUGGGUAAAAAACUUUAGUUCGAAAUUUGAUCUCCACUACCUGGAUUAUAGAUCCUCAUAUCGUAAUUGUAUUUAUAAAUUCUCAGCUAAAUUGAUCCAUAUACGACACAUAUAGUAGCAUUUGAUGAAAACAGGAAAAAUCACCCAAAUACUAUUUCUGAGAAGCUAAUAUAUGCAUAUAGUAGUAUUUGAUAAUGUGGAUUUAUAUAAAUUUUAAACUUAAAAGAUUUUUAUUUUAGAGGAUAUAUUACAAAAUAAUAUAAAUUAUAUCUUGAGAUCUUACUUAAUAAUUUAAGUUAUUGAGUUGAAAUGGUUUUUUAAAAAUAAUCUUUGUGUAAUGAUGCAUCAUCGAUCCAAAUAAAUUGAAUAACUUUAAGUGCUUCAAAUUUGAAAAAUCUGAAAAUUAAACACCAUGCAUAUAAACAAAUUAUAUCAAAGUUUCACACAAAUUGACGUUUAAGUGAUAACGACUGAAUCGAUGGAGUGUACAUACGUUCCAAAAAUAUUAAAUGACUGAUCAAGAGUAAUUACAACAGUUCAUCUGAAAUUUUCGUAUGAUUUUCUUAUAGCAUUGCUCUGAAAAAUUACAUGGACAAAUAUAGUCAUGAAGUAGUAUGGGAAAAGUGCUUUGAUUUUGUGAAAUAACAUAGAAAUCACUAUAUUAGUUAGGUAAAAAUAUAUCUCAAAAAAAAAAAAAACCUCUAAAUUGAACUAUAUACCUUCCAUUGAUUCAAGGUUUGUUGCACGGAACCUGCAGACUGGAAAAGGAUAAAUUUACUGCAAGGGCUUCAAACAUGAAAAACGAUGUUGAACAGGCAAGGGCAUCAAACAUGGAAGACGAUGAGUCAAGUGCUCCAAACAAGGGAAAAGUUAUUGAUGUAGGAAGUGAUUCAGACAUUGAUAAGGAUAUUAACAACUUAAGUGCUUCAAACAAAGGAAAGGAUACAGCAAGUACCUCAAGUAUUUCAAACCCGGAACUCAAAAUUGAGAUGACUAGCAGGAUUUUGGAACAGCUGCAUAACCGAACGGUGGAGCAGAGAACACAGACAGCAGAGGAGGUCAGCAUCACCAUCGAUUUCCUUUCUCCAGAAGCAGUGGUCUACCGCCACAUCAACACCCAUCUUCCCCGAUCUCUUCAUCUCCGUUAGCUCUGAAGCUUCCUCCAGCAGUGGCCACCACACGGCAGCCCCUACAGAACCAAAAUGAGAUAAAUCUGAAAGAGAAAGAAAGACUCGAACUUGUGUAGCAGAUCUGGACCGAGAUCCAGCCGCCAUCAGCGCUGGCGAUGCCCAACAACCAGAUGUGCUACAGGGAUGAACUCUCGGGCAACAAACAGUGACAGACUCGAAAGAAGCCAAUCUAAAGGAGGAGGAGAAAAAAACGCAGAUCUGUGAAAAAAAGACAAUAAUCGAAACUCAAUUAAGAAGAAAUCAUCGCACAAACAAUCUCCCGGACCGGUUGUUGAUUUGGAUCCUUUCCCAAUUGAGGAUGGAAGACUACGGGAAAGAGGAGAUUGGUUGGGGUGGGGAAUGAAGCUGUGAUUUGGGAUCGGUUCAAGAGGUAAGAAUCUAUACAAUAACAGUAACAACAAGAAGAACUUUUCAACCCAGCCAUGGAGGGGAAAGCUUUCUCUCAAAAAACCCAGCCACCGUUCCAGACAAACUUAAUUCCUUCUCACAAACACAAAAAUGAACUUGACCUUACAUACAAGCCAUAUUACCCCCAGCCUCAGCUACCAUCCAUCACCUUAAACACUCAGACUUAACAAACUACCGUGAUUUUCAACUACAAUGUUACUUUGAAAACUUCCCAAGUUGGGUCGAUUACCAUAAGCUAAAGACUGUUUCAGAAAACAGGGAAAGUUAUUAAGCUGUUUGUUUCUCGAAAAACAAAUCAAGCAGGAAAGCAUUUUGGCUUCGUCACCAUCCUCUCGAAUCUGUCAGACAAAACUCUGCUAGAAUGCUUAAAUGACAUAUGGUUUGAUUCCUAAAGCUGAGAGUUAAUGUGGCUAAGCACAGAAGAAAAGAUGAAGUGACGAAACAGAAAAUAAUGGGAACAGGGAAACAAAUACCCAAGCUCAACAACAAAGCCAAGGCCCCCAUCCGUGUAAGAGACAACCGAAGCUAUCUUGAGGCAGUAAGAUCAGGGAGUCAAGUGCAUCAAGCGUCUGAUAAUGCCACACCACGUCCUCAUAACUUCAUUUCUUUCAACACUACAGAUGAGGAAAUUCUAUGGUUAAGAAAUAGUCUUAUAGGCAAGAUAUCUCAGGGAGUAGAUUAUGCACAAAUCAGACAUGGAUUAAUUCAGCUAGGCAUUUGCUUCUCUGCUUCCGUUUCCUGGGGGAUCCAGGCAAUCAUAAGCUUUGAUGGUGAGAAAUCUAUGCAACAAGCCAUGCAGAAAGGUAUGGAAUGCUGGAGGCUCUACUUUGAUGAAGUUCACCCGUGGACGGAAGAAGAUGUGACAGAGAGUCGUCUAGCAUGGAUCUCUAUCUCUCAUUUGCCUAUCUCUGGCUGGAGUUUGAGAUGUAUCUCAAACCUUCUCAUGAACCAUGGACGGGUGAUAGGUUUUGACAAAACCAGCCUAAAAAUCUCUGAACUUCACAGUGUGAAAAUCCUUAUAGGUACUCACUUGCCGGAGAUCCACGACUCUAUAGCUCUCAUGCUAAACUCCAAGUUAGUACACAUACAGCUGGAUGAGAUUGACCUUUAAGAUAUCCAGAGGCAAAAGGAAUUUCAUACUCGAUGGCAGAAUUUCAAACCAUAUUACUUCAGGGAGAUAGUGCUGACAGUGACUCAGAUGAUGAAGUGUACACUAAUCUGGCUUUUGACUUGGCAGGAGAUGACAACAUUUGCAGGCUGGUAUCGCUGAUAAGAAUUGUGGAGCUGAUGACAAGGCACACACUGAGAGGUAAGGAAGCACAACCCACAUGGGACAUAUGAGGUCUACGAUCAUAGCUUUGCGGCCACAAUAAAUGCAUUGACAACACAGAACGGCUACAUAUCGUUGUUGAAGAUCUCUUUCCAGAAAUAGCUGCUCCUAGGACUCCCCACCACUUUCUCUACCAACAAGCUUUCCCAAAAUCAACUCCAACCAGACGGGGCCUUGUCUUAUACGAUGUGAAUUCAGCAAGCCCACUAGAGCAUCCAAGCAUGGCUUUCAAAAGAGACUCCUUCUCGCCACAACCUUAUACCCCUGUUAGCAGUGAUGAUUCUUUAGAAUCCCACUCAAAAUCCAAAGCCUGCCUCUUACAUCAACCAACAGACCCCAACAGCCAAACAACCAAGACUAAAGAAAAUAUCCUCUACUGGGAGUCUCCUCUCCUUGCACUCUUCAGCAAGCAUAUCUUCUAUAGACUCUUACAUCAGGGUGAAUAAUACCCGUAACCUGAAAGAAUAUGCAGCGGAGUCGUCCACAAUGAAGUCAACAAAAUGAUCCAUUUGGGAGAAGCUUUGGGUCUUGGUAAUUCAGCUCUCUUGAAAAUUUUCUGGGUCUUAUCAUAAGACAGCUAGAAAAGGAAGGAAGAUUGGCAGAAACAACAAUGAAUAGUAAGUUUUCAUCCCUGCAGAUAGGCCUUUUAAUUCUGUCAUGAAUAUUCUUUCUUGGAAUUCAUGUGGCUUGGGCAUGAUGAGGAAACGAAGAAGAAUCACGAAAUUAAUAACAGAAUAUAAGAUUGAUAUAUGUUUCAUGCUGGAAACUAAGCUAGCUAAUUGUUCCAUUGGUUUUGUAUCUCGUAUUUGGAAUGAAAAUCAUGUGAGUUGGUUUAGUAAUGAUGCUCAAGGAUCAAAAGGAGGUCUGGUUGCUAUGUGGAAAAACACUAACUUUGAAGUCUCUAAUAUUGAAUAUAGUCAUGGUUGGAUCGGUUUGUAUGGUAAACAUGUUCACAGUGAUUUUCAUUGCUUUGUUAUUGGCAUCUAUGCUCCUUGUAACUAUCAGGACAGACAAAAACUUUGGGAUGAUCUCAUUCUUCUAAAGCAUGUUUUUGAAGUUCCAUGGAUAAUAGCAGGAGAUUUUAAUGAAACACUCUCUUAGAAAGACAGAAACAGUGGAAUUUGUCAUCCUGCAGGCUCAAAUUCUUUUAGCAGAUUUCUAUAGUCUUGUGAGCUCACUGAAUACCCUUUAGCAGAAGGUUAUUUUACCUGGUUCAGAGGAAGGUCCAAGAGCAAACUGGAUCGUAUGUUCGCAAGCUCAUCCUACCAUCUUCACUUCCCCAGUUUAUCUCUUCGACGACUUCCAAGAGAGUUCUCGGAUCAUUGCCCUUUAAUUCUAUCUAGCUUCUUACAAGACCAUGGAUGACGUCCUUUUUGUUUCUUGGACCGUUGGACUCAAUACCCAAAUUUCAAGCACAUUAUUGAAAGCUUCUGGAAUGAUGCAUGCUCCCUUCACCCUGGCCGCUUUAAAUUUCUCAAAAAGCUUAAUCAUAUUGCAGUCAAAUUGAGGCAAUGGAAUAAGCUUGUAUUUGGAAAUCAAGAAGCUGGCCUUCAACGAACCCUUUCAGCUAUCAACAUACUAGAGGAAAAAUGUGAAGAAGAAGGUUUAACCGACCAAGAGCAGGAGCAUUUAGACUUUUUGUUGAAAGACCGCUGGGUUCGCAACAAUCACAUUGAAUCUAUUUGGAGGCAGAAAUCAAGACAUAUAUGGUGCAAAUUGGGUGACAGAAAUAACAAGUUUUUUCACAUGAUUGCCAAUUUCAGGAAGGCUAAAUCAUCAAUACUUAAAAUCCACCAUAAUGGCAACACUUUUGACUCUCAGCAGGGAAUUAAGCAGGCUGCUGUGGAUUAUUUCUCUGAGUUGUAUGACUCCCCCUCUAGUAAAAAGCCGCAAUUAAAUCCUUUGGGUUUCAAAUGUCUCUCUAAAGAAUCCUCUGAAUGGUUGGAGCAAGAAAUCACAAUGGAAGAAGUGAAGCGCGGUGUAUGGGGUUGUGAUGGGUCAAAAUGUCCUGGACCAGAUGGUUUCAACUUCAAAUUCUACAGAUUAGCAUGGGAUUUUAUUGCUCAAGACAUUCUAGAUAUAGUCUUAAGCUUCUUCAGAACAGGAAGGCUUCCCAAAGGAAUCAAUACAACCUAUGUAACUCUCCUCUCCAAGACAGUCGAACCCAUUGAGUUUAAAGAUUUUCGGCCCAUCAGCAUGAUUCAUGGUAUUUAUAAGAUCAUUGCUAAAAUCCUUGCAUCUAGACUGAAAGCUGUUAUGCAAGAUAUCAUUAGCAUUAACCAAUCAGCGUUUAUAGCAGACCGUAACAUUAUAGAUGGCUUUAUGAUUGCAAAUGAGCUGGUGAAUGAUCUAAAAAAGCGAAAAGCGGCAGGUUUGAUUUUCAAGAUUGAUUUUCAUAAAGCUUUCGACUCAGUCUCCUGGGAUUACCUAGAUGAUAUCAUGGGUUAUAUGGGGUUUGGCAGAAAAUGGAGAACCAUGAUUUAUGAAUGUCUUUCUUCAUCAAAACUCUCGGUUUUCAUCAAUGGAUCUCUUUCAAAAGAAUUCUCUGUUCGGCGAGGGCUGCGUCAAGGAGAUCCGAUUUCCCCUUUUCUGUUUGACAUAGCUGCUGAGGGCCUCUCUGUUCUCUUUCAAAGGGCAUCUAGUGGGAAUAUUAUCAAAGGGCUGCAAUUUGCAUCAGGAAUUUUCGUCAGCCAUCUUCAAUAUGCAGAUGACACAUUAAUAUUCAUCCCGGCAGAUAUUGAUCAGUUAGUUCAAGUCAAAAGAAUUUUAAGAUGGUUUGCUCUGUCUUCAGGCCUUCAUAUAAACUUCCAUAAAAGCUCCAUUAUUGGUAUCAAUGUCGAUGAUCACUUGUGCUUGCGCUUGGCUACAUCUAUUUUUCUGCAGAUCAGACUCCCUCCCAAGCAAAUAUCUUGGCAUGCCAUUAGGAGCCAAUCCAUCUCGUAUCUCACAUGGAAGCCAGUGAUAGAGAAGUUUCGUAAAAGGCUUCAUAUAUGGAAGGGGAGACUACUAGCAUGGCUGGUCGUCUAUGUCUCAUUAAAAGUGUCCUUAAUUCCCUGCCUAUAUAUUUUAUGUCUGUAUUCAAGAUGCCAAAAGGGGUAGGCAGGCUUCUUUCAUCCAUCCAAAGACGUUUCUUGUGGUGUGGAUGUACCAAGCAAAGAUCUUUCUGCAAGAUCCAAUGGAGAAUAGUGAUGCGCGAUAAGAAACAAGGAGGCCUCGGUGUAGGCUCCCUUAUAUCAAAAAACAGAGCCCUGCUUCUAAAAUGGAUUUGGAGACUCUCUUCCCAGGUACAAGCUUAUGGAAAAUGAUUAUCUCUUCAAUGUACAAUCCAUCUUAUGAGAAUGGGAUCCCAAUUUUCUACAACCAACCAUCCAAGAUAUGGAAGGAUAUUAUGUCCAUUGUUCAAACCGACGUUCAUCAAGUCUUCACGAAUCAUUGCAAAUUCAUGGUGGGGAAUGGCAAUUUAACAUCCUUUUGGCUAGACAGCUGGAUUGGUGACGACCCUCUCAAAACAGCCUUCCCAAGGCUAUAUCUUUUGUCUUCCUCUAAAUCUGCUUUGGUGGCUGACAUGGGUAGAUGGAGCAAUGGAAUCUGGCUCUGGUCCCUACAAUGGCGCAGACCUCUUUUUCAUUUUGAACAAGAACAACUAUCACUUUUAUCAUCCUUGUUAGAAUCCAAGCCAAUGUUCUGCCACAAGAUGGAUAAGAAAAUCUGGACCCUCAACAACGAUGGCCUCUUCAGUGUAAAAUCUUGCUCCAAAUUGAUGGACCAGUUACUCUACGGUGGAGCCAAACCAUUCCAAUCUUCUGUUUGGAUAAAACUAACCCCACCAAAAGUGCAGCUUUUCCUUUGGCUCCUUGUCCAAGAUAAAGUAACCACAAGAGAUUUCCUAUUUCAACGCGACUACCUCUCCCUUCAGGAGUCAAGAUGUGCUUUCUGCAAUAAAAGCUUGGAAUCUUCAAGUCACCUCUUCAUUCACUGCCACUUCUCUUGGAAUAUAUGGAUGAAACUGCUUUCUAAUCGGGGCUUUUGCAGUGUUUUUCCAAAAUCUGUUGAUGAUAUGUGCUACCAAUGGUCUUCUAUGGUUAAAGGCAAGCAACAAAAUCUCUCAUGGCAACUUCUUUUCUCAUGCGUUGUUUGGAAUCUUUGGCUUCAUCGAAAUGAUGUUAUUUUUAAUGACGCUGCCCCUAACCUUCAAAUCUGUUUCUCCAUGGUGCGCCAAAGUAUUGCUUUAUGGCUGAGGCUUGACUCCAACUCUUUCGAGCUUAAUAUAGAGAAUGUUUAGUCGGGAGGAGUUGGUUUCUUUUGAUUUAUCUGUUCUCUUUUUGUUGCUAUCAACCUGUUUCAUGCAACAGUUUUUGUGCUUCCCUUUCCUCUGUUUGUUCUUCUGAUGUAAGUUAGGCUACUAUCUUUGUAGCUUUUUCCUUUCAAUAAAAUUUCGACUAUUAACAAAAAAAAAAAAGAUGGAAGGGAUGGCCUCUCAACAGGACCGGGCUGAUUGCUGUAAAUACAGGGUGCCCAAAUCGCUUCGAGGCGUAAAUUGGAAAGCCUACACUCCACUACUGAUUUCAAUAGGUCCUCUUCACCGCGAGACUAAAAGAAUAGAGGCCAUGCAAAAUCAUAAAUGGAGAUGUUUCAAAGAGUUUACUGAACAGGAUGGGAUGAAUGAGCAGAAAAUUAGGGAUCUUGUGAUCAGCAUUCAGAAUAAAGAAAAGUAUAUCCGAAUCUGCUAUUCAGAGAAAUUCAACAGAAUCAGUAGCUGUGAUUUCAUAGAGAUGAUCUUGCUGGAUGCUGUUUUCAUCAUCAAGUUUUUGAAUGAGUAUCAACAGCCUAAUCAUUUUGAGCCCAGGAUGAUGUUUGACAUACGAGAAGACUUGAUUCUACUUGAAAACCAACUACCUUUCUCCAUCAUUCGGGAUAUAUAUCAAGAGAUCAAUCGUGAUCUCCAAGAUGCAACAUGGGAAUCUUUUCUUGAUCUUGUUACCUAUGUUUUUGGAAAGCACACAGGCGAUAUUGCUACGUUUCAUUUUGAAAAGCACAAGUUUUCACAAGUGGAAGAAACCAGACAGAUUGUAAAGGGAAGCAAGCAUUUCACUGAUUUACUAAGGAGUUUUAUGCUGAAGGGAUCCAUUGAACGAACUUAUAGUUUUAAUCCUAUCAAGCUUAAAUAUAGUGCGGUCAUGCUUCGCAAGGCAGGAGUGAAGUUUCAGGUCACCCAAGACAAAUGCUUGGUCAACAUAAAAUUUGAGAAAGGAGUGUUGAAAAUACCACGCUUGGAAGUUGAUCACAGCUUCGAACGUCUUGUACGAAAUAUCAUGGCCUUGGAGCAGUGCUGCUACCAGCGAGAAGCUUACGUAUGCAGUUACAUUAAGUUUAUGGAUCAUCUUAUCGACAGUGCAGAAGACGUGGGUUUGCUAGUCCGAAAGGGAAUCAUUCUCCACUGGCUAGGUGACGAUGCCGCAGUUUCAAAUGUGAUUAACAAUUUUUGCGAAAAUAUUGGUAACAAUUACACUUGUUUUGGUGAUAUCUCUCAAGAGAUAAAUUCCCACUAUGAGAGCCGCUUUAACCAUACGAAAGCAACCUUGAAACUUGUAUAUUUCGCCAAUAUUUGGAGAGGUACGGCAACUGUUGCAGCAGCUAUCCUGCUCAUCCUCACUUUCAUACAGACUAUAAGUUCCGUAAAAUCGUUAUAAUGAUUUUAUCUUGCUUAGUUUCAUUGCUCCUACGUAAUAAUGGAUUGGAUUGUUAUUGUUAAUUUCCUUUGAAAAAUGUUUUUAAAUUGUGAGUUUGUGUUGUUCUGAACCAAUAAUAUGAUGGUAAUACAUUAGAUAUUAUUGAUGAAAGCUAGCAAUUUAGACUACAAGUUUUAUCCAUGAUCUAAGCUCAAUAUUACCAAACAAAUUAAAUUUAUUGGGUGUCAGCCCAUAUUAAAUUAAAAACACAAUCUAAAUACAUUUCAUGGUUCUUACUUGUAGAAAACAAAUUAACUAAGGAUAUUUUAAGUAAUUUUCAUUUUAAUUUUUCAAAGAUAUCCUUUAAAUUAGGGGCAUUUGAGAUAAAUUGCACAUAACUUGUCUAUAAAUCAAGGUUGUCAAUUUCAUUCCGUUCCGUCCGGAAUGGCCGAAACAUUUCAUACCAAUUCAAAAAACGAAACAAAACGGAAUAAAUUUCAUCUCAUUUUAAAUCUCGGCCCGUUCCGGAUUUUUCGGCCAAAUUCCGGCCGAAACGUUCCGGUUUCAUUCCGGUUGUUCCGUUUCGGCCAAAAAAUAUUAUUUUUAAAAAAUUAAUAUAUAGUUUAUAUUAUUUUAAGUUAAAGAUCUAUUUAAUCUUUACUAUUUAAAAAUAUUUUAAAUUUUAAAAUUAUAUUUGUUUGUCAUUAUGUUUGUAUUGUAUAAUUUAUAAUUAAUUUAUCUUGAAUUUGAAUUAUGUUUGUGGAAUAUAUAUAUAUAUAUAUGAACAAUACAACCCCGAAACGGCACGCCGAAACACUCCGAAACUGAAACAUUUCGUUCCAAUUGAAAAAACGAAACACCUACCGAAACGGAAUUGACAACCUUGCUAUAAAUAGACAACAAAGUCACCAAAUCAAAGACAAAAGCAUAAAAGCAUAGAUGACAAGCAAAAAAGACACAUAAAAGAAAACAAGAAGAAGCAGAAGACAGAAGGACAACAAAUACAUACUAAAGAUCAAAUACAAAUAUUUGAGUUAUCUCAAAGAAAUUCAAGUCUAUUAAAGAGAUAAAGGAUCAAAGUCAUUAUAUUCAUCAAAUCAAAUCAAGUUAAGAUCUCACACGGUUAUGAAAAUGUUUUCUGAGAAUUGUGUCCAUCAGAUAUUUCUUUAAAUGAAGGAGCUGAAAAAAUCUAUCAAAUAAAGAGAUGUUUAGAUCACCAUGGUGAUGGACCAACUAAAAAAAUAAAAUCCACAAACUGAAAGCACCCAAAGGAUCAUAGAUCCAUCUUGAAAGAAUACUCAUCAAGAUCCUUUAUAAAGCUAAUAUUCUCCUAAAAAGCAACCAAAACAAGAGCAACAUGAUCGAACAAUAGUAUAAAAUGCUUUAAGGGACAUUAUUGGAUCAUCAUUGGGCUCACUUACUCCGUAAUAACUAUUGUAUAUGAUUGUUGAUACUAUUCAUUCUUAAGUCAUAUUCUAAGCAUAUCAAUGAAAUGAGGAUGCCACCAAACUAUCAACCUUUAAAGUUCCAACAAUUUAAAAGUAAAGGUAAUUCAAAGCAAUAUAUUGCUUAUUUUAUGGAGACUUGUAAUAAUAAAGGAACCUAAGGAGACUUACUGGUGAAGAAAUUCAUCUAGUCCCUAGAAGCAAAAGAUUAGUAUAUUUAAAAGUCUAUUGUUAUUUACAAUCAAAAUGAAAAGUUAAUAAAUCCAAUUUAUUUAUGACUUUAUCUAAAUCCAAUUUAUUUUAUUUACAACGUCUUAAUCUACCAAAUUACAAUAAAAAAUGAGAUAUAAAAAGUUUAACUGUAGAUUGUUUUUUAUUAUAUCAUAUAUUUAUAUAUAUCUUAUAAAUAUACAUAUAAUAUAAGUAUUUUAAAUAUAAUAUUAUAGACAUAUAAUCUUGUUAAAUAUUUUUGAAAUAAAUUUCAUUUUUAAAACCUUAAAAUAUAUAUUUUUUUAAAAUUAAUGCCAAAUUAGUUAGUGGUGUUAACUAAGAGUUUAUUUUGUAUGAGGUUGUGGAAAGAGAGAUUUGUGGAAGGCGUAUUUAUAAGAAGUUUAUUUUAUGUGUUAAAAAAAGUGUUUUCUAGAAUUAAAAAAAAAAAAAACACUUUUCUAGUGGUUGGAAACUAGUUUCUAUAUUUUAUCAAACAUCAGGAAACUUGGAAAACUACUUUUUAGGAAAAGUGAUCACAAACAAGGCAUACUUCUUCAUGAUCACAUCAAUUUUAAGCCAAACGAGCACUGACGGUGAUAAUUUUAAAUCUUAAGAAGAAAUUAAGAUGGGUUAUUUUAAGAUUUUGAAUUUUUUUUAUUAAAAUGUAGGAAAUUAAGUUGCCAGGCGGGCCGGGAAGAGGAAUUGAUCAAAGCCGUGUAUCAAAUUGCGCGCAAUUAGCUAUAUAUUUGAGAUAAAUGUUGAACGCAGCUAGUCAACUUGUAUGUUCAUAUACUGUAAUAUUAUAUAUAUAAGUUUGAAGUAAAAAAACUAAAGAUUAAUCCAUGUCUAUAUCCUUGUCUUCUAAGGGGUGUGUUCUUACGAUAUGAACAAAUACACUAGCACGAUUAUUAGUGAAUUUAGCUUGUCUUCUGCAAAUACCAUGAAUUAAGCAACUCGCUUCAAUGCAAGGCACAAGAAUAGAUUUUAUUUUCCAGUCUCUUGACUUCUCUGGGGAAGCUUGAAGAUCACAAGUCAUGAUUCAAGCGAGCAAGAACUGCGAGGUACGUACGAGAAUUCAAACCAUAUUUGCUAGGAAAAAAAAGAAUUCAAACAACAUUAAUUAAGUAGACUUCACCACGAAGAUAUGUAGCUAUCUCUUUUCUACAGUCAAGAUAAGUUCCUUUAGCUUUUAAAAGUAAGCCUGGGGAGAGGCUUUACAUGUGUUCUCACUCAAGUUGGCUUUACUGCUGUAGCUCACAGCAUCUGCGAGCUAACGUUUGCACGAUAAGGUAACAUUUUAAUAUUAUAAUGAUUAAAAAAAGAGAGAGAAAACAUUAUAAUAUCAUAGCCAUGUCUACCAGUAUUAAAUUAAGAGAAAAGGUUAAGUAUUUAUUGGUGGUUCUAUCAACGCAUAAAUGCUGCAUGAUGGACCAACUUAACUGCAUUUUUUUUUCGAGUACAAAUAACUGAUAAACUUAAGAAAAAUAUGUUUAAAUUUAUAAAUUUCAUAUGAAAAAUAUUUUUAAUUUAUAAAGUUUAUCAGUUAUUUGUACUCGAAAAACUACGGCAAAAGGCGGUAGCAGCUGAAAUCAAGAAGGAAAGUCUAGAAAUAAAAAAAUCAGAAUUACAGUUGGCAAACAUAGUAUCAUUCAGAAUUGAAAUUUCAGCUGCAACCUCAGUUUUAAAAAAUCAUGAAAGAUAAUAUUUAUAUGAAUUAUUUAUUAAUUUUUAUAUAAAAUAUUAAAACUCCAAAUAUUUGUUUUUUAAUUUUUUCAGGUUGACUCUGUAACCCAAAACUUAAAUAUUUGUCUUUCAAGUUAGUGAGUUGAUUGAACCAUGUCGAGUUGCUCAUUCGAUUGACUUGGAAGAAAAUUCAAAUUUUCGUGUUUUCGAUGAUAGUCUUGUUGAUGUUGACGCAGAGGAGUUGAAUGUUGUUCUUAAUAAAGAUGAUGAUGAUGAUAUCCAUAUUGAAGAUUGCGAUAAAGUUGAUGACUGUUGAAUUGACUAUGAAGAAGAAGAAAAUUCUGAGUAACUAUCAGAAUCAAGGAAAGUGAAAAACAUCUUUUUAUAAUGUAAUAUUAUGGAUGAUAUUCUGUAACAUGAAAUAUUGAUUUUAUAAUUGUUAAUUGAUGUUAUUGUUUUGUGCCGGUAGUUUGGAAUUUAAGUGUUUGCAGGAGGGUAAAUAGACAAUACAAACAUAUUCUUUCAUGCACAGUGCACGAUCACCGUGUCUCUAUAGGCGGAAAACAUCUGUCGCUAUUUUAUUGAGAGUUGUAAAAUAUUUACUGGAAAUGCCACAAUCACCAACAUCUAUACCAACGAAUACUAUAUCCAUCGACAUUUUACAGUGAGUUGAAAAAUAUUUACUAGAAAUGCCAUAAUCACCGACAUCUCUACAAACGAAAAUAUUCCAUCGGUAUUUUAUCAAGAGUUCAACAAUAUUUACUGGAAAUCCAUAAUCAUAGUCGUGUAUGCCGACAGAUACAUUCUGUCGGCAUCUGUCUGCAUUUGGCGACAAUUCACAAUUACAUACAGACUUACUGAUGGAUGGUGCGAAUUUCAAAGUGCAGGUAUUAAUACACCUCUAACCACGUGCACUUGCCGACAAAAAUAAACCACGACUGCGAAAAUUAUGGAGGGUAAUUAAAAAAAUUUAGUGUGAAAUUCAAAAUUUACCGAUGGAUUUUUGAAAAGUCACGAACGAAAUAAUUUUAAAUAAUAUUAUUUUAAUAUUCUGUCGGUAAAUCCGUCUGUAAAAUUGCGCUAUCAAUCCCAGCGACCGCCUCUUUAGUUCAUUUUUCCUCUACUUUGUUUUAGAGUUCUCUCGUUUUUGUUUUUUUCCUCUCAUUUGCUGCUAAAUUUUUGUUUUUUUCCUUGUAAUCUCUAGUUCAAUCUUCAACAAAUUAUAAGGUAUGUAUUUCCAUUUAAUAUGCUUAAUGAUUUUAUUUUAUUUCUUUGUUUUAGUUAUUGUUAUUUUUGUUGUGUUUUUUGUUUUGGUGUAUCUUUAUAAUGUAGAUAAAGUCUUGAAAUAAACCAUUAUUCAGGUAAGCAUUUUUCAUUCCUAAAGUCUAUAGAUUUUUUUUUAUUAUUGUUCAAUAUAUUCUAUUGUUUGUAUUGCCAUAAUAAUGGAAUACUUUCUUGAAUUUUAAUUGUUAUUGUUGAAUUUACCUUGUAAUUAGUAAUUGAAUAUAUAUAUAUGAAUAAAUUUAAUUAUUUUAAUUCAAUUUUACUUAUUAUUGCAUGAUAUGUGUUUAAUUAUUUCCAUUUAUUUUAAUUGUUAUUUGUAUAGAUGUUAGGUUAUAUAUAAGAUUUUUAACUUUUCAAGAGAUAAUGAGUGUGUGAUAGAACUUACAUGUGUUCUGAACCACAUGGCAAAUUGUUGAUCUUGUAAUUAAAAGAUUUGAGAUUCAGUCAGCUGUGAGUUAUUGGACAAUAAAUAUUGUUGAUGUUGCCUACAAGGUUGUUCCAAAUUAUAUAAGUGUAUGAUAUUACAUUAUAUAAAGAGUACAUUCUUAACAAAGUUUAAUUAGUAGUAUAUAUAUACUUAUUGAAUAAAAAAGUUUCAGCUCAUCACAGUUAAAUAGAACAUAAUUGUGUGUUUGUUUGAACUCUAGUUUAGACAAAUAUUUUCCCCUUACGGUAUUUUUAGGUGUAGGUCGUCCAAGAUUUGAGAAUAUUGACAAGUUUCCACUGGAAGGCACACCACCACCAUCAUCAUGCCGUGGAACAUGAUUGAUUCUUAUUCUCAAAUGAGGUUCGAAAUAGUAUGAGAUAAAUGUUGAGAUGUCCUCAACAAUAUAGGCCUCAUAUAUCAAAGCCUCAAAAUGCGCCUUGUUCUUAACCUUUUUUCUUAAGAUUGAACAAGUACUUGCAUUGAAUUAAUAAAAUAUUUUCAAUUAAGAAAAAAAAAGAAAAUAUUUUUAUAUAUGAAUUACCUGUAAUAUCUAACCAUUCAAAUGCAUACAUCCAUCUAUACUAGAUCGGUUCUCCAACUUUUGCCUCAAAUGGUAAAUGUAUGGGGAGAUGCUCCAUUGAGUCAAAAAAAUGAUGGAGGGAAUAUCAUCUCAAGUUUGUAUAGUGUCUCGAUGAUAUUUGUUUCAAGCCUCUCAAUGUGAUCAACAUUCAACUUAUUGAAGCAUAUAUAUCUAAAGAAAGGACUGACCUCCGUGAGUGCAUCCCAUAUAUCUUUUGGUAACAAAUCACGAUAAGCUAAUGGAAUGCGUGUUUGCAUAAACAUGUGGCAGUUAUGACUCUUCAUUCCAUAUAAUUUGUAUUCCUCUAUAUUAACCAACCUUGAUAUGCUCAAGACAUAUCCAUCAGGAAAACGCAGACUCUUAAGCCAUUUAUAGACUAGUAGUUGUAUAUUUUUCUCUAAUACGAAGCUUGCUCUUGGUUUUGCAACCCGUGACCCAUCACAAACCAACUCCAUAUUUUUAUGAUUAUAGAACAAAGCUAUAUCAAAUCUAGCCUUGAUGUUGUCCUUUGUCUUCCCCUUCACAUCCAUGAUGGUGUUGAAAAUGUUCUCAAACACGUUCUUUUCUAUGUGCAUGACUUCAAGGUUAUGGCGGAGGAGAUUGGUCUUCCAAUAAGGAAGCUUCCAAAAAAUACUUUGCUUUACCUAAUUGUGGGUCAAACCAAAACCAGAAACAACGAUGAUAGUAAAAAAAAGAAGCUUUACCUCUGUUUGUUAGCGUGAAUGCCUUGUUUUUUCCAUGCAGUAUGGACAUGCUAGUUUUCCAUGAGUGCUCCAACCAAAAACCAUUCCAUAAGAUGGAAAAUCAUUGAUAGUCCACACUUCAGAGUUGAAAAGCCGCCCUCAUAAAAAAAUUAUAUUUCCUCGAUAUAUCAUAAGUCAAAGCUCUGAAGGACCACAACUGCGUCAACUUAUCAAUCAAUGGUCGAAGAAAAACAUCUAUAUCCUGGCCCGGGCUGCUCGAACCGGGUAUGACAGUAGAUAAAAACAUGAACUCUGGCCUAAUACAUAUCCUUGGUGGCAAGUUAUAAAUUGGAAGUAUGACCGACCAACAAGAAUAAGGGGCAGCAAAUGACCUCAAUGGGUUGAAUCCGUCUGUACACAAUCCAAGAUGCACAUUUCUUAAUUCAGCUGAAAAGUAAGGAUGCAUACUGUUAAAGUGUUUCCAUGCUUCGUCGUCAGAAGGAUGCACCAUCACUUCAUCAACCGUAUCAUGUGAUUGGUGUCAUGUCAUGUGCUUAGUAGUCCUUGGUGACGUGAAUAACCUCUACAGUCUAGGUGUGAUUGAGAAGUAUCUAAGUUUUUUAUACGCCAUGAGAGUCUUUUCCCUGCCAGUUCUAGGCUUGUAACGAGAAUGCUCACAUGUGAUGCACUCGGUCAGCUCACAAUUUUCAAGGUAGUAUAACAUGCAUAAGUUAGGGCACAUGUUAAUUUUCUGGUAUCCCAAAACCGAGGGGUUUCAUCAUGGACUUUGUAGCAUAGAAGUUCUCUUUCAGCUUGUUACCUUUCGGUAAAAUGCUUCUCGCUCAUUCGAUAAUUUUGUCAUAACCGGCCUCAACAAACCCGUGAUCUAACUUGAUGGUGAACACUUGUGCUACGACCGAUAAUUUACUGUGGUUCGUGCAGUCAUCCCAAAAUGGUUCGUUAGAAUCCUUCAACAAAUCAAAAAACCUUGUUGCAUCUGCAUUAGGUUCUUGUUCUAUGAUUGGACAUUGAUUGACAUUACCUUGAUUCAUUCUCAUUGCAUCCAUAACCAUAUUCCUCUAAGGAUUAUUGUCACACGUCACCCGUGCGGCGCCAACUAGUGAUUUUUUCGUUCUUCGUUUGCGUUUGAUUCGUUGGGAAUCACCACCUAGUAUUUCGUUAAGGGCUACUAGGAAACCCAAAUAUACCGGUCUUGUCAGAGAUUCGUGCGUAAGGGACUGAUUGUGAUUAGGGAAGGUAUUAGCACCCCUAACGCACCUUGGCUGAGGUAAGCUGCUUCGUGGCUUUAAGGUGUUAAAGAAGUUUUAAAAUUUUAUCUUUUCAUCAGAUAUUAGAAAUACAACUUACGUAUAAGUUGAUAAUUUUUGACCGUGAGCAAAUCAAAAUAUUAAAUUCUUCUUUUUCUUCGCAAUUUUAUCAUAAAUAAAUAAAAAUUCAUAAAACAAAUGCAAACACACAUACACUUUCACUAUUUUUAUUUUUUUUCUUUUACAUCCACAUUACAAAUUAUAAAAAUUCAAAAUAUAUACAAAAAUUACAUUAAAAAAUUAAAAAAUUACAAAAAAAAAAACAAAGAGCCACUAAAAUAGAAGCAGGAACAGUGCGACCACAGGAACAGUGCUGGAAGGCUUCUUGGGUUGCCAGAAUAGUGGCGGCGUGUCUUUCCCACGCGUCAUCGCCACUAGCAGCAAGUGGGUUCACGCGCCGCCGCUAGAAAGAACUUGGAAAUAGUAGAUCAAGAACGACUUCUUCUUCUUUGUCUUCCUAAAAUGUCGGUGACCUGCAGAACAAGAAAAGAAACGCACACAACAAUCGAUUUUAGUUUUUCUUUCUUUCUUGUUUAUGGAUCGUUUUUUUUCUUCUCCGUUUUAGAUUUGUUUUUCUCUCUACAGAUCCACUAUUCUUUUGGUUUCUCCUUCUCUGUUUCAGACGGCCGGGCGACGAAUGGGUUGUUGUCGACCGCUGUGCAGCUGCUGGUGGUCGAUUCGGUCUGUGAUGGCUACGGUGGAGUUGUGUUGGAGAGGAAGCUGGCGGCUGUUUUGAUGCAGGGGAUGUUUUAGUCUGUUGUGGUUCUGUGUGGAGGAAUUUGGUGAUGGUUGUGGGGUGUUGAUGACCAGGAGAGGGAUGUUGUGGUCAGGUGAAGGGGAUGCAACCGAGAGAGGGAUGAGGGGAAGAUGGAGGUACAGGUUUAAGGGGUUAUGUGGGUAUGGACUAUUGGCUGAGGGAAGAAUGGUUGAUGGAGGAGUGAUGGAAACGGUCUCGGUGAAGGGAAAGAGAGAGGGUUGGUGGCGACUGCUUUGGCUGGUUCUCUGUGGUGGCUGAGAGGUGAGGGACGAUGGGUAUUGGUCAGUGGCUAGGAAGAGUGGGGUUCUGUGUUGUGGCCUCAAAGGAAAAGGGGGACGGCCGGUCUCUGUUGAACAGCGAAGAGAGGCUAACUGAGAUGAAAAAGAAAAUGUGAGAUCGCCAAGGAAGAAGCAAAUCCCGAACCAGUGGGGGGGGCGCGACUGGCCUUGUUAUUUUCGCCAAAUGGGGGCGCCGGCUUGGGUCAAGAGAUAGGUUUUUUAGGGUUAGGUUUUUUUGUAUUAUCUCUCCAAUGCGCAAAAUUGCCCCCUCCAUCUUGAGUGUGUUGAGGAGACCAGUAUUUAUAGGUAAAAAUGUUGCUAGGUUUUCAAACUUGGUCCCUCAACUUCUUUCUUUUUCAUGUAAAUUGGAUUUUUCUUGUUUUUUUGGAUUUUUCAAUAUCAACAUCGACUCGAAAUGAGGAAAAUCGGCAAUUUGAAAAAUAACGCGUUCUAAAAACCUUUGAAAAUUUAAAUUCUUUUGAGACGAUGCUAAAAAUUCUAAAAAUGAUGCAAAUAUAUUAAAAAAAUGUAUUUUUUGGAUUUUUUUUUUUUGUUUUCUCUAUUUUUGGAUUUUUCUGAAAAUUUAUCAAAAUAUAGGUAAAAAAUUGGGUAGCAACAAUUAUUAUUGUCAUUUUCAACUCCAUGCACGUUGCUAGCACUAAAAAUUGACCCAACUACCCUUUCUUCCAUGAUCUCAUUACGAACAACUAGUUCUCUGUGUGCAUGCCAACACAAGUAAUCCUCCAUGAACUCCUUGUGUAAAAGAUGCAUCAUUACAACAUCUAGAUGCAAAUACUUUUUAUUUUGACAUUUCCUGCAUGGACACCUACUACCGCCUCCAGUAAAAUUUCUGGGAAUAGAUAUUGCGAAAUUAAUAAAACCCUCAACCCCGUUACAAUAAUGUAUCAUCCGCAAUCCUUGUUGUGAAUCUCGAUACAUCCAAGCAUGAUUAUUCAUUACUUCUAUCGAACCUCUAUAAAAUUAUAAUGACAACAUGUAUUAAUUAACUAUGUUAGGUAAAUAAAUUUGGACAAAUAUUGUUUACCUCCACAUUAUCCAACAAACUAAUUAAAACUUCUCAUAAAUAUGCAUUAUCAAUUAUCAACGUCCAUACAAAUUUAUACAUAUAAAUUUACAAAAAUUACAACUCCGCAAUAGCAUUAAUAAAAAUUAAAACGAACCCAUUAAACAAGCUAUUAAUUAUUUCACAACAUUAAAUAUAAUUCGGUAAUUCAACAAAGUUUCAACAAUUUACAAACAAAUAUAAUUUUACAAAUUCUAAAACAAUCCAUAACAAGUACAAAAUUAUACAUUCAUACUACAAGUUUGUUUGAGAAAUAACAAUAAAACAAGUACAUACACUAACAAAAUACAUAUACUAAAAAAAACAAUAAAAUUAACAUUUAAAUGUUAAAAUUAAAAAAAUAUAGAUUUACUUACAAAAAAUGAUAAAAUCCAUAAUAAAUCAGAAUACGGAUGUUGUGACCACGAAACUUAAAAAAAUGACUUGUGCUGAGAAGAGGGGGAUUUUUUUGGGUGGGGUGGUUGUUUUCUAGUUUAGGAGGGGAUAGUUGGGAUGGGGAAGAAGAAGAAAUAGAGGAAGAGAGGGUCGGUAGAGUGGUUAUAUAUUAGCUCUUACCAAUGGAAACACCGAUGAACUCAUUAUGUCGGCGAUUUUGUUGGUAAGUUUGACGGUGAAUUGGUUAGGUCACUGUACAGAGAUCCCGUUUUGAAUCCCUCGAUAAGUAAUGAAGUUAAUUUUAUUUUUAUAAUGUAUUCAUCACUUUAAUUUUAUUGGUCUUUAUACCUAUCAAAUAUAAACAUUCAAAGGAUAUAAGAAACAUUAAAUAAAACGAGGCAUUAUUUAUUCUCCUUUUUCUCAACAUUACAUAAUAUUGAAGUUGGUUCACUAAGCUGUGAGUUAUCAAUAUUUAUUUCAUUUUUUUAUAAAAAAAAUCAAUUCUUCUUAUUUUGUUCAUGGUUCAACCUAAAAUCAAAACAUAUAUCAUGAGGAAAAAAUUGAUAAUUUUGGCGGCUCUGCUAAAAACAAAACAUAAGAAAAAUCCAAGUGUAAUUAAGACAAAUUAACUAAUAAAAUAUAUCUAAUUAAUUAUAUAUAUAAAAAAACAUCACUAUAACAAGAAUUCAAAAAACAUUUGGUAAAACUAGUACAUCCCAGCAAAAAACAAAAAGAAGCAAAAAUAAUAAAAUUAUAAAAAAACCUCAUUAAAUUAUUAACAAACAUAAAAAAAAAAAAAAAAAACAAAUUUUAAGUUUGGGGGUUAGUGAUGCUCAAUUAUGGUAAUUUUGUUUGAUGAAAGAAAAAUUAAUUGACGGAGCUAUGCUUCAAUCUUUCUAUUUGUGAUUUAUGUUCUUAUUUCUAUAUUUUACCUUAUAUAUUAGGGCUGCAGCGAGAGAAAACGGUAAAAUUCAUUCAGCUAAAAAGUUAUUUAUAACUUCAUACUUUUUCUUUCCACGUAGAUAGUUUUAAAGUUAAAAGAUAACAAAUAUAUUUACUGUUAAAAAGGCCCACUUAUUUAAAUAUAUAUUACAUCUUCUCGCACUUAAUCACUAAGCAAUAAAAAGCUAACCUACAUAAUUAGUCAUCAUAUUUUUUCUUUACAAGUGCCGGGCCCUUGCUUGCUUCCCCUUAAUUCCGCCCCUGGUUUGAGGAUUCAACAUUAAAGGGCUAAAAUGAAGAUUUAAUAUUUUUACAGGGAUUAUUAUGUACAAAUAUACUUGAUCUCUUAAAAAUAAUUUUAAAGUUAAGGGACUUUCCUAGAUCCGCCCUUGUCAAACUAGAAUCUAUAUAGCAUAUAGAAUUAAGUCCCUUAAUUAUAGCCAUUGUCUUGUGCAUGUGGGUAGACAAGGCAAGAGACUUCGAGAGAGAGGGGGGAGAGAGAGAGAGCGGUGGUUCGGUGCUUGGACCCUAUAUACAGACACAGUCCUCUGAUCUCCGUCCUCAGGUCAGCACUAACUUGUUCUGUUCUUUGAAAUGUUUAGUUUUUUGAAAUUUUAUGUUUUGGAUUUGGUUUAAGCUCUGCAGACAAUAGGUUGUUCGGUGUAUGUAGUUCCAUUUAUUUUAUAUUAUUAAAGUUGGUUUGCUUAAUUAUGUUUUAGUUUUCCAGCAUAUAUAAAACAUUUGUAAUAAAUUUUGUUGUUAAAGUCAUUAAUUGAACUAUGAGAUAGCUAUAGAGCAAGACUUGAUUAGUGGUGGUCAUCAAGUGAUUAUCGGUAUCAAUACCCAUUGCAGUCACUUUAAUUACCCAUACUAAUUUAUUUAGGAGAACUAGCUACACAUCUAAUAAAAAUGGGAACAGUAUUACAAAAGAAAUAAAACAAAAAAAAAUCAGAUUGUACCCAAACAAGGAACAAUAAGUAUUUAUAUAUAUAUAAAAAAAAACUAGUAGUCAUGUGUUUUAAGUAUUUGCUGAUUAAGUUUCAUCUUGGCAUCUCAAAGUCAUCAAAUGCUUUAUUAAAAGCAUUUUAUAAUUAUUUGCAGUUUUCCAAGCAUAUAAUGUCAAGUUUAUCAUAGAGGAAUGUGUUCUAGUUUAUCUACUAAAAGAGUUCCAUCUUUGUCAGGAAAAUUCACAAACUAAUUCAGAAUAUCCAAAUAAACCUGAUGUGUCGUAAUUGCGCACAAAACACUAGUUAGGUUGUUUUAAAUUUAAUCUUUAUUAUUUUGAAUUAUAAAUCCUCAUUAUAUCGUAAUUAUAUCAAUAAAUUCUCAGCUAAAUUGAUUCAUAUACAACACAUGUCCUAGCAUUUGAUCAAAGCUAGAUAGAUCACCCAAGUAGCUAAUUUUUUUUUUUCUAUAUUUGUUCUCCAUAUAAAACACAUUAAAUAUAUAUUAAAAACUCCUAACAAAUUAGGCUGAACCCCUCUCUUUAUAUGGGCUUAAUGAUCCCACAUGGAUCAAACUAAACAGAAAUAUAUAGGUUAUCUUGCAGAAUUCGAGGAAAACCAGCUAAACAUUUUCUAGCUUGCAUUUUUCUAUAAAUGUCAUGUCUUAAAUUUUGAUGUUAAUGUCACUGAACUUGUUAUUGAAUCGGAGGUUCAACUUGAGAUUACUACUAGUUAAUUUGCCUACUUGUUGCUGCCUUUUUGAAAUUAUUUUAUUGAAUUCUAUGGUAAUUAAAACAAAUAUUCCAAUAAAAUCAAAUGCUUUAAGUUCUUUGAAGAAAACAUCUAUUUCUCUGGUGACAAUUUCUCUAUGAGAAAAAAUGUCAUUUUUAUUAGUAUCGCUCUUUUAUAAAUCAAAACAUAAGUUAAUUAAAAUAAAUAUUAAUAAAAAAUUCAAUGAUUUAAAUGAAUAAGAAAAAAAACAAAUUCCUUUAAUAAAAAAUAUCAUUCCUUAUUCAUUCAUUUUUUUUUUAUGAAAAAAAGACAUUUUCUUUUAUUAUAAGCAUGAGUUUUUGAAAUAAAAAAAAUAACUUUGAAAUAGUUGAUCACCCUUAAAUAGAAGAUUUGAUCUUCAGAAAACAUUUAUUCAAAUUCUAAAACAAUCCUAAAUUCUCUGUUUUUUUUUUAGAUCGUUUUGAUGUGAAGAUAUCAAAAAUAAAUUUUAAUUUUUUUUUUAUUAUUUUGAUGUAUUUUCAAAUAAUAAAAAAUAUUUAAAAAAUUAACUUCUAUUAUUGUUUUAAACACCCUUAAUUAAUGAGCUUAAUUAAAUACUGGUAUGAAUCAAUUUUAUUUGAUAGCGUGAAAUUUGAUUAUAUACAUGAACAAAAUCUAGCUAAUUAUUUAGGCUAUUUAAUGUUAUACCAAGUGAGAAAUAAAGAGAAAAGGAUGAUUUAAAGUGAGAGGGGGUAGAGAAGGAGAAAAUGUGUUAUAGUGAAAAAGUUUUGAAAAAUUGUGAUAUUCAAAACCGAACUGUGUAUACCUUCCAUUCAUUCUUGGUUUGUUUCAGCCAACCUGCAGACUGGAAAAGGAUAAAUUUACCGCAAGUGCUUCAAACAAGGGAAAAGAUUUUGACGUGGGAAGUGCUUCAGACAUUGAGAUGGCUACAAAUCCCGAUUAUUAUAAAGAAAGAGAGAGAGAGAAAGCUACAGAUAUUUGGGCAAAGCUGGAUUAUGAGGUGAAACAGAUGUCCUUUAAACGGAACGGUUCCGAGUGCUGCAUCUACAGGGUGCCCAAACCGCUUCGAAACGUAAAUUGGAAAGCCUACGCUCCACUACUGAUUUCAAUAGGUCCUCUUGACCGCCAAAAUAUAAGACUAGAGGCCAUGGAAAAGGAGAAACUGAAAUAUUUCAAAAAGCUUACUGAACGGGUUGGGAUGGAUAAGAAGAAAAUUAUUGAUAUUUUGAUCAGCAUUGAGAACCAAGAAGAGCGUCUCCGACACUGUUAUUCAGAGAAAUUCAAAUCAAUCGAGAGCCGUGAUUUCGUAGAGAUGAUACUGCUGGAUGCUGUGUUCAUCAUUCAGUUUUUGUUGGAGUCAAAGGAUCAUGAUAUUAACGAUCCUAAGAAUUUUGAACCCAGGAUGACAUUUGACAUCCGACAAGACUUGAUGCUACUUGAAAACCAACUGCCAUUCUUCAUUAUUCAGGAAAUAUAUGACCAGCUCAAUCCCCCCAUUCCUUUUCUUGAUCUUGCCACGUUACAUUUUCGAAAGUACAAGUUUUCACAGGGGCCAGAAACCAGCCCGAUUGUAAAGGGAAGCAGGCAUUUCACUGAUUUACUAAGGAAUUUGAUGUUGAAUGGAGCCAUUACGCAACGUUAUCGUGUUUAUCCUAUGAAGCUGAAAUAUAGUGCGGUCAUGCUUCGCAAGGCAGGAGUGAAGUUUCAGGCCACCCAAGACAAAUGCUUGGUCAACAUAAAAUUUGAGAAAGGAGUGUUGAAAAUACCAGAGUUGGAAGUUGAUCACAGCUUCGAACGUCUUGUACGAAAUAUCAUGGCCUUGGAGCAGUGCUGCUACCAGCGAGAAGCUUACGUAUGCAGUUACAUUAAGUUUAUGGACAAUCUUAUCAACAGUGCAGAAGACGUGGGUUUGCUAGUCCGGAAGGGAAUCAUUCUCAACCGGCUAGGUGACGAUGCUGCAGUUUCAAAUAUAAUUAACCAUUUUUGCGAAAAUAUUGAUGACAGUUACACUUGUUUCGGUGAUAUCUCUCAAGUGAUAAAUGCCCACUAUGAGAGCCGCUUUAACCGUACGAAAGCAACCUUGAAACUUGUAUAUUUCCCCAAUAUUUGGAGAGGUACGGCAACUGUUGCAGCAGCUAUCCUGCUGAUCCUCACUUUGAUACAGACUAUAGCUUCCGUAAAAUCGGCAUUCUAGGAUUUUAUCUUGUUUAGCUUUAUUAUUCCUACGUAAUGAGGAAUUGGGUUUGUGUAGUUCUGAACUAAUAAUAUUGUAAUGGAGUUUGCAAACAUAAU